rnacentral:lncRNA from 1 species
AUUGGUGAGUUCAUGCAAAUUUGAGGGCAGCUCCUUCAAAGAUCUACAAUGAUUCAGCUUCAGUAUUUGCAACUUGUAGAGUGAACAUGUGGAUUCAGGUAGUUUUUUAAUGCGAGUAUGGGAAAGGUCUAACGAACGAAGAUGUUUAAAAUUGCAAACAGAGUCAGGCAGCUCUUCAAUGUUUGAACAGUGAGACAGAGAUAAGACGCGUAAGAACUUAAACUUGGAGAACAAUUCAUGUAUCGACAUCUUGCAAUUCCAACUACGGUCAUAAUAUUCAUUCAUUCCCCACCAUGUUGGCAUAAAUGUACGCAAUUUUUUAGUAUCACAUGAAGUUCCAAACUCAUCAAAAUAUCGUUCGGUAAUCAUUGAAACUGAAAAAUGACGGGUUGUUUUCUGUGUACAUUUUGCUUGAUCAACUCUCAACCUGAAAUAGAUGUCCCCACAAACAUAUUUUGCCAAAUCAUUUAGAAGGUCAUGCAUGACAAAUCCUUCUCUUUUUUUUUGCUCAGCAAAGACAAAUCCUUCUUUAUAUAUGCUUGAUUGUUGAAAGAAGGACCUUGAUAGUAGAUCAUUGAAGUACUGUUGGCCAACUUCCUCUGGACUCGUACUGCAUUGAUGGCAGUUUAGGAAAUUUUCAGCCAUCCACAACUGAAUUAAACACUCCUUGUCAAACUCAUAAUCCUUGGGGAAUAAAGCACAGUAAGCAAAGCAUGUCUUGAGAUGGGGAGGAAGGUGGUGAUAGCUCAAUGCUAAAGCAGGAACAAUACUGUCCUUUAAUUCCCAUAUUUCACUUUGGAAUACGCUUUCCCAUUCCCAGGCAAAUGGUUUGUUGUGUAAUAGACUUCCCAUUGACUUCAAGGCCAGAGGAAGUCCUUUACAUUUUUUAACAAUCUUCUUACCAAUAUCUGUGCAUACUGGAUCUCGUGGAAGAUUAUCAUCUCUGAAUGCAUGUUUUGCGAACAAUUCCCAGCAAUAAUCUUCUUGUAAUUGCUCCAGCUUGUGUUGUUCUGACCCCAUGGUAGAAGCAACUUCCUCACUGCGUGUUGUGACAAGGAUCUUACUUCCCUGAGCUCCAUAAACAAGAGCAUUCUGCACAGCUUCCCAUUUAGGUCUGCUUUCGUUCCAAACGUCAUCCAAAACGAGGAGAAAUUUUUUAUCUGCCAAUUUUUCUUUUAGUCUUCUCUGAACUAUUUCUAGCUCUCUACCAUGAUCAGUCGAAUCAGUAAUCGUGUCAAGAAUUGCUCUUGAUACGUUGAAAACAUCAAAUUCCUCUGAAACACAGAUCCAAGCUUUGACAUCAAACUUACUCACUAUUCUUGGGUCAUUGUAUACAAGUUGGGCAAGCGUGGUCUUACCCAACCCGCCCAUGCCCACGAUAGAAAGUAUUGACAGCUUGUUAUCAGUGUUAGAAGUGAGCCAGUUAAUGAUAAUUUCUUUAUCAUCAUCUCUGCCACAAAUAUCACUUUCUACCACCAAAGAUGUUGAUUGUGGCACUUUACCACCAGAUCCUGAUCCAACUACAAGAUCACUAGGCUUUUUCAAACCUAGAUUAUCCAUCCGGCUUGCAAGAUCAUCUAGGUCAUCAAGGACAUUUUUCAUGCUGGAAUUAAUUUCCUUGUUAAAGGAAGUAACAGGGGAAGAUUUGAAGAAAUUGGGUACCUUGCAAGUACAGGUUUGAGAUUCAGAUUGAGGUUGAACUUGGAGUCUGGAGUGUUGUAUUUCAUCCAAGACAUCUUCAACGUCAAGCAUGGCAACUUUGAGCUUAAUAAGCCAGUCUCUCACUGGCAUAUUUCCAAACUGUUUUUGUUCAGCAUCAUCAAGCACAGCUUGGAUGGAGAGGAGCUUGUUUUCUAAGUCCUUCCGCAGCAUCUGGUCGAUCUUUGUUCCACGAAAGAAAUCCAGAACUUGAGGAGAAGCCAGCUUCUGAAAUAGAGCCCCGAGGAAAGAAGAAAGAACAGCACCACCAACGCAUUCUAAUGCCAUUGUAUGGUAGGAAAGGGAGCAGUGGAAUCGAUUAAUGGAAAUCUGUGUUCUCAAGUGCAGCUUAUGCCAAUCACUCAGUGGAAUGAAGUGGUCAUCAAAUCAAAGUAAAGAUCUUUUUGUUUCAAGGUCAGUCAACCAACAACUACUGAGUCUUGCCAACAACACAAACCUUAACAGCUGUAUUCUAUCAAUGAGUGAGUGGCUAUGAUUCUGCUGAGGGUAGCUCUUAUUCUCAUAACAACUUAUUCAUUAAUUGCCUUUUGUAUAUUUACUAGUGUAAAAUCUAAAGAAAUGUUUAUAUACUUUAUAAAGUGUGUAAUUUUUAAUUUAUAAUCUAAUGAAAAUCAUAUGGCCUAAUCAUAAAGUAUACCUUUUAAAGAAUAAUUAGUAUAAUUAGAAUUUAAUUUUCUUUUAUAUAUAUAUAUAUAUAUAUAUAUAUAUAUAACAAAUGUAUAAUUAGAAUUUACUUUUCUUACAUAUACACUUAUUAUUAUAAAGAAUAUCUUUUUCCUAUAUAUGAUUCUCUAAUAAAUCUGUGAGAACAUUACAAAUUGAUAAAAUAAUUUAUAAAUCUUUAUUUUUAAUUUAUUAUUCCUUCCAACAAUAUGAUUUAUCACAAUAAAAAAAAUUAAUCAACGUUUCACAUUGUAUAUUAAUUUAAUUCUUAUAUAAAAAUUACCUCUUUCUCUAAUAAGAAUAUUCCAGAACAUCACAAAUUAUUAAAAUAUUUUAUAAUUUUUUAUUUUUAAUUCAUACUUCAAUCCAAUAAUAUGAUUUAUCUUAAUAAAAAAAUUAAUAUGACGUUUCACAGUCUACACUAAUUCAAUUCUUAAAUUAAAUUUUGUAAUUAUUAGAUAAAUUAAGGUUAUCUUUAAAUACCAGUUAAAUUAGUAAAUGAAACAAUUGUCUUAAAUAUGAUUUAAUGAUACGUUAAUAAGCAUUAAAUAUCAAUCAAAUGAUACAAUUUAAAUUACAUGAAUAAAAUUUAUUGUUACAUUAAAUUCUAUCAAAAACACUAUUAUUAAUAUCAUGAUUUCAAUUUUUAAAAUAUUUAUUAUUGAAAAUAUAAAAUUGAUCCUAAUUCAAAAUUUUAAUUAAUUUAUACUAAUUGUAUUUACGUCAAACUUAAUUUAUGAUAAUAAAAACGAAUUAGAAAGUUUUUAAUAUUAAAUUGAAUUUGAAUAAAUGAAUUUUGAAGAGUAAUAUUUUGUUGUUUCUAAUGCUGAAAACUUUUAAAUUUUAUAUCCUACAAAUUAAAAAUAAAUAUUUUUUCCGUUUAACCCAUUAAAUUGAAUUUGUAAAAUAUAUUUUUUAUAACUAUUUUAUUAUACUUUUUUUACAAAAAUUAGAAAUCAUGGUUAUUUUUUAAUAAAAUUGUGUAUUUAGUUAGGAUUUAAUAAUUUUUUACAUGAACAAAUGAGACAUAUCAUAAAUAAUACUAAAUUUAAGUGCAUUAGUGACACAAAAUUAGACUAAAAUUUUGCAAUCAAUUAAAUAUUAGAAAUGCUUAUAACUUAUGUACCUACCUAGAAUUUUUUUUAAAAUUGGAUUUUUAUCAAAUAUUUAUUCUAUUCCCAAUUAUUAUUAUUAUAAAAUUGAAUUUUUUAUUUUGAUUUGGAUUUAGUUAUAAUUUCUUAUUAAAUGUAUAAAUAUCUUCUAUAUUAAACAUUAUCAAAACUGUAACAAAUAAUCAAUAAUUCAAAUAUUUUUAUUGUUCAAGAUGCAUUUUUUUGUAUUUUUAAUUAUAAUUAAAAUUUUAAUCAGAAUAAUAAGUAUAAAAAAAAUUAUUGAAGAUUUUGAUCCUUAUAUAAACUCAUAUAAAAUUAUUUUAUAAUAACUUUAGAAGUGCAAUUAUCUAAUUCAAAAUUUAAACAUGGUAAACAAUAUAAAGUUAAAUUUUAAAAUAUUUAUUCAUAUAAGUAUAAAAUUGAUCUUAAUUCAAACUUUCUAAUGAAGUCAAAAUUAAUUUAUCAUUUAAAUAAUAAGAAACAUAUAUAGAUGUUAAAUGAUUUAAAUGAAAAUUUUAAAAAUAUUUAUUAAUUCGAUCAAUUUAAAUUGUUGUUACAUACGCAUCUACCUGGGUAUCCUCUUAGAUCCAUGCCUAAAAGUUGUUAUAUAUUCCAAUUAUAAAGCAAAUUAUAUGUGGGAAAUGAAAAGGAUAAAAUAAUUGAAAAUAAAAUGACGAUAUGUCUUAUAUAAAAAUAAAAAAUGGAACGAUGACAUAGUAUGAUAUAUGUCUUUAUAUAUUAAAAAUUUGACGAAUAGAUAUAUGCAUGUUAACCUUAAAUGAAUCUAUUUUGGUAAAAAAAAAAAAUCUUUCUCUUCAAAUACCAUUAUUAGGUAUUAAACUUUAAGACAACAAUAGAAAAACAUUUUUCUUCAAAUAUUUUGGAUGAAAAAUAAUGUUUUGAUUGAAGUUUUGUACAGGAACUCAUUUGGAUGAAAAAAAUAGUGUAAUAUAACAUAAAAUAAAAAAUUUUCACUUGUUUAUUGAUAUUUACACAAUUAAUAAAAAAAAAUGAUUAUUGAUUGAAAUGAUAUUUUUAUGUCCACUUAGGGGUGGGAAUAGGCCAGGCUUUGAAAGGCCUGAGCCUAGACUACGAUGAAUUUUUGAGGCCUGAGCCUAGCACGAUGAAUUUUUGAGGCCUGAACCUGACCUAUAGUUUAUAAAAGGCUUUUAUUUUGGCUCGGCCUGACCUUUUUAAAAGUCUAGCCUGACCUGAUAGCCUUUUUAAAAGCCUUCUUUACAUUACAUCUUUAAUAUCCCUUUUGCUCUUAAGUAGACACGUAAUAGGAAAGUUAAAGGAAAAGAAAACGUUAACAGAAAUAGGAAAGCCAAUAAAAAUAAUGAGAAAUAUAAAGGGGCACAUGAUUUACACCUAAAUUGUAAUUAAAGUCUUACUUGAUUAUAAGAAUAGAAAUUAUGGAACAGUAAUGUGUAAUCAAAGUCUGAUAGUUUAAAAAAAAAUUAAUUGUACCAAAAAAAUAACAUAAGUAUAUAUUGGUACCCAAAAAAUAACAUAAGUAUAUAUACAUAUAUAUAGGUCGGCUUAUCAGGCUUAUAAGAUUUUUUAAUAAGCCUAAGCCUGAUCUAUUUAAUUUAAUAGGUUUUUAAAAAAGUUCGAGCCUAACCUUUUAAUUAAAUAGGCCAGUUCAAGCCAGAUUUUAUGUAGGUCAGGUCGUAGGCCCUUGUAGGCCGGCCUGACCUAUUCCCACCCUACCACUAAUUACUAUUGAUGUUAAUGUUUCUAAUAUUUUGGUUUUAUUCAAUUUUUCUAAUCAAUUAUUUUUUUUGUUGACCUUUUCAUUUCACCGUAACAUCCAUGAACAUAUAUCAUAUGUUAUUUUUCAUAUUCUAAUUAAGAAAACAUCAUAGAGAAAGAGAGGAGGUCUUAUUUCUUAAGUGUAUUUCCCAAAUUUCCAACUUCUUGGAUAUUCUCUUACUUGAUAGGAUUUUUUAACCCGAUAUAAUAUAUUGCAUGCAAAUUUGUUUGAUACCCUUACUUUGUUCACUUAAUGAAAUAUUUAAUUAAGCAAGUUUAGCGCAUUUAGUCAGAUAGUAUGUUUAAAUUUGAUGAUUUAAUUAUUAUGUCCAAAGAAUGGUAUUCAUUUCUUGGUGGUAGCUCUUAAGUUAUGUCCGAUCUUGGUUAAUUAAUGAAAAGUUUAGUCUGUCUAGUCAAUUUCAGUGGUUAAAAUACCGUACAUGUAUAUUUAAGUCGGCAAAUUUACGCAAAGGGGUCACAUUUAGAAACUAUUUAUGCAAAGGGGUCUGUUUUCUAAGUAUUUACGGAGGGGGUCAAUUUUUGCAUAGAAGCCGCCAAUGAUAAUGACGAGAAAGCAUGAGCCGCCAUUGUCAUUGGCGAUACAUGGCUGACGUGGAAGGUGCCGCCAGUGGCACUGGCGAUACUGGCUGACGUGGAGGGUGCCGCUUUCUCCAUUGGUGAGACACGCCACACAUAGGGUCUCGCCUCUCCCAUUGGCGAGACACCUUCACGUUGCAGGCUCACACUGUUAUAGCUUGCCUAGGGUCACACCUUCACGUUACAGCUUGCCCAGGGUCAGUCACAUCAGUGUUUAGGGUUGCAGCCUUAUGUAGGCUAGGUUACAGCUUGGACCUGAAAAUGCAGAGUAGCCUUUUGACCGUUGCUUCUUUACAUUUUCUGCUAUAAAAAAAAACCUCCAUCAACGUAAAUACUACACUUCUCCUUCCAAGCUCAGCUUCUCCUUUCUUAAUCUUGAGUCUCCUUUGAGUGUUUCAGUGUGUGCGUGGUGCGCUUCCUUAAAGUUUUGCUGUGUGCUUUCUUUUCCAUAAUUCAUGGUAAGUGAUUUUCUUAAAUAAAAUUUUUAUAUUCUGUUAGGUUAGUUAGUAUUAAUAGGUAUUGUAAGUUUAGGUUAAUUAGCAUUAAUAGGUAUUCUAAGCUUAGGUUAGUAACUAUUUAUGUUCUUAAUUUUUAUGUAUUAAUAGAUAUUUCAAGGUUAGGUUAGUUAGUAUGAAAAUAUUAUUUAGUUAUUGUAUAUAUUCUUAGAUACUAUAUAUAUAUAUAUAUAUAUAUAUAUAUAUAUAUAUAUGAAUGAUACUUUAGUUAAGGCACACUUAAUAUAAGUUUUGUAAUAUUAGACACAAGUUAAUAUUAGCUUUAGAUAUGUAUUUGUAAAUUUUAGGCUCACGUAAAAUUUAUAUAUUCUGGUAAGUAAUUUUUAAAUUAAAUAAGAUAUAUAUUCUGUUGUUAAAUUAUAAAAAUAGUAGGUUAGUUAGUAUUAAUAGGUAUUCUAAGCUUACGUUAAUUAGUAUGAAAAUAUUAUUUGAUUAGUUAGUAUGAAAUUAUUAUUUAGUUGUUGUAUAUAUUCUUAGAUUUUAUAUAUGUGAUAUUAGCUUUUAUAGUAUUAGGUAUAUAUUUACACGCAUGAUACUUUAGCCAAAUAAAUAUAUAUACACGCAUGAUACUUUAGCCAAGGCACACGUAAUAUUAGCUUUUGUAGUAUUAGGCACAAGUUAAUAUUAACUUUAGGUAUAUAUUUAUAAAUUUUAGGCAUACGUAAAUUUUUAGUUUUUGUAAUAUUAAAUACUUCACACGUAAAUAAAUAAUUGUAAUAUUAGACAUUUCACACACGUAAAUUUAUCUUUUUAGUAUUAUAAUUUUGUAUGUUAUAUAUGGAUAGUACAGUUUUAAAUAAAUGAGUUGAUAAGUUAAUAUUAUUUGAGUUAAUUAUUUUUAGUUAGAAUGUUAUAUAUAUUAUUUUUUAGUUUUAGUUUGUAGGUUAAUAUUAUUUGUUUUAGAAAAUUACGUGAUUAAAUAUAUGAUACAUUGUAAAUUAUUAUUAUUUUUGUAUUACACGUUGUUUAAAUAAUUUUUUGCAUUUCAAUAUUUAUUUGUAUUUUAAUUUAUUUGGUAGUCCAUAUUUUAUUUAAUUAUUUAUUUUUUAAUUGUAGAAUAUAUUAUGUUAUUUAUUUAAAUUUGUUUGUGUGUAUGUAUAUGUAGAAUAUAUUUAAAUUUUAUUAUUUGUAUAAUAUAUUUUGUUAUCAAAUAAAUAUAUUUUGUUAUUUAUUUAAAUUUGUCUUCACAUGUAUUUUAAUUUAUCUAUAGAAUAUAUUCAAAAUUGUCCAGUUUUAUUUAUUACAAAUUUAUUUAUAUAUAUUUAAUAACGUUUUUAUAAAUCUGCGUAGUUUAAUUUAUAUUAUCUACAUAUAAUGUAUAAAUUGUUUUGUGAAUUUAUUGUAUUAUAUUUUAUUUUGCAGUAUCAAUGGCAUCUUCAUCGCCAUGUCCAUCACAUAUCAAAAUUAAGUCUAGCCCGAUCGAUGGUGAUGUAUUACGGAUGCAACCUAAGCAUGAUUCAGAACAUGUUUGGAAUGGGGAAGAAGAUCGGAAAUUACAUAUCAGACGAGUUGUCCCCACGUAUCAAGGGGAAGAAAUUCCAGAGCAAAUUUUUCCUUUCCUUCGACAAUCUGGUUUUUACUGGAUUAUGAAGAUGGGAUACUUAAAAAUAAAUGCCUCAUUAAUUAGUGCUUUGAUAGAAAGAUGGAGGCCGGAAACACAUACGUUUCACAUGAGAUGCAGAAAGUGUACUAUUACUCUUCAAGACGUCUCUAUAUUGUUAGGUCUACGUGUGGAUGGUUUACCAUUAAUCGGUCCAACAAAUCUUAAUUGGGCUGAUUUAUGUGAGGAAUUAUUGGGAAUCAGACCACAAGAAGGAGGUGAAAUUAAAGGUAGUGUGGUUAAAUUAAGUUGGUUGGCUCACCAUUUUGCACAAAUAAAUAACCACGACGACGAAGAACAAGUACGAAGGUUUGCCCAUGCAUGGAUACUAAGAUUCAUUGGAGGUGUCUUGUUCGUUGACAAAUAACAAAGUUUCGCUAAGGUACCUUCAAUUUUUAUGUGACUUUGGAGAUUGUAGCACAUAUGCAUGGGGACCUGCCGUACUUGCUUUUCUAUACAGAGAGAUGUGCAGUGCCACCGAUUAUAAAACUAAAUCAAUCUGAGGUAUGUGCAUCUUACUACAAAUGUGGGCAUGGAAACGAUGUCUAACCUUGGCUCCAAAGAGGACUCCUUCUCAAGUAGAAAAUAAACCACUGGGGCACAGGUUAGUCAUUUUUAAAAGCGUCUUUCAUUUGUUGGACCAUUAAUCGGUCCAACAAAUCUUAAUUGGGCUUAUUUAUGUGAGGAAUUAUUGGGAGUCAGACCACAAGAAGGUGAAAUUAAAGGUAGUGUGGUUAAAUUAAGUUGGCUGACUCACCAUUUUGCACAAAUAAAUAACCACGACGACGAAGAACAAGUACGAAGGUUUGUCCGUGCAUGGAUACUAAGAUUCAUUGGAGGUGUCUUGUUCGUUGACAAAAGCAGUAACAAAGUUUCGCUAAGGUACCUUCAAUUUUUAUGUGACUUUGGAGACUGUAGCACAUAUGCAUGGGGACCUUCCGUACUUGCUUUUCUAUACAGAGAGAUGUGCAGUACCACCGAUCAUAAAACUAAAUCAAUCGGAGGUAUGUGCAUCUUACUACAAAUGUGGGCAUGGGAACAAUGUCCAACCUUGGCUCCAAAGAGGACUCCUUCCCAAGUAGAAAAUAAAUCACUGGGGUACAGGUUAGUCAUUUUUAAAAGCGUCUUUCAUUUCAAAAGAAUAAAUGAUUUUAGGGUAUAUUAAAUUUUAAUCUUUGUAGGUGGCUGCGACGUGGAAACCAACAUAUUGACAAUGAUGAUGUGAGAGUUUUUUGUUGCAAGUUGGAUAUUAUGAAACGUCAUGAGGUAAGAACAUGGUAUUGUAUUUGUAAAAUAAAAAAUGAUGUGUUAUUUUACUAAAAUGAUGUCAACUAUGUUGUUAUAUGCAGUUUGUGUGGGAGCCUUACACAACAACUGUUAUAUCAUUGUUGCCUCCCAUUUGUGUAGUCAGAAGUGUCGCGUGGUGCGCGGUGGUGCCACUUAUUUGUUUCCAAGUCAUUGGGUCUGUAAUUCAAAUAAUAAAUUAAAAUAACAAAUAACACAAAAGUAGGAUAAUAUGAACAUAAAAAAUGUACCUACUACGCAAGUCGCAAUUAAAUCUGAAUCAAGCUUCUCAUGGUCUUGUGUCAUAGUCAUAUUUAGACAUGUGUGCGGUCCACCCCAUUGUGUCACUUUUCAUGCAUCAGUUUUUUUAGAUAAAAUUGCCCUCAUAUAAAAAGGGCAAGGAGACUGUGCGCUAUUGUUGGGGCAAUAAACGAUAUAUUUGUGCGAUUUCGUUUCAACAACCUUAAAACUUUGAUGCACCUUCAUCACAUAUUAUUUCAGUAUAUUUUUGACCACAUCUUUACUGUCAAAAUCUAUGCCAACAUAUAAUUCUUGUCCAACAUUAAAAGUCGUUGGCAUGUCCAAACCACAAAUGUCCUCCUCGUUCGGAUGACUCCAAUUGAUAUUAUUAUAAUGUAAAGCAUCAUUUCAAAAUGGAUUUUGAAUUCCUGGUACACCUAAUAAUUUCAAAAAAAAAAUCACGUCAACAAACUACUCGUAUUUAGUUACCAUUAAAUACAAUUCUCAUAAAAAGAUAGAUGUAUUCAACUAAUUUUGUAUUUCAUAAAAUUUACCUUCAAUUGGGUGAACAAUUGAAACUGGUUCAACGAUGUCGAUGACUUCAUCGUCUGUAUCAGAUAUUCCAUCAACACUAUCAUCUUCAUCGAAAGACUCUUCAACGUAUGAGUUAGAUGCAAGAUAAUCAUCAUCAUCAUCUUCAUCAUGUAAAUUGCUUAUAUUUCUUGGUAGUUCCGACUCAUGAUGAGAUGCAUUAUGUCCACAUGACGUAACAGAAUUUGCAGCAUGAAACAUAGAACCACCAGCAACAUCCUUUUCUACGUACAAUUCUAGAACUGACAUUUGUUGUUGUUGAAAACUUUCGAUCAUAGUUUCAACAUCUUCGUCAUCAGAAAUUUACAAUGCAACAUAUUUUCCUGAAACUAAAAAUCUACAACUUAUAGUAGAAAUAAUUUCAUUAUUUUCUAACUUUACCUUAUCUCCAAUUUUUUUUUCAAAGCAUUGAAACUAAUUCCGUGUUUAAUCUGAAUCGCCUUUUUACUGUCUUCAAAUAUUACACCAUCAUUGUCUUCAUAUACUCUUCCGUUGAAAUACAACACUGUAAUAAUUGAAUUCAUGAUAUACCUACAUGAACAAAAUUAAAAAUAAUUAAUCAUAACAACAGUAGUUUUAAAAUAAAUAAGUGUAUUUGCUUGCUUCAUCUACUAACUUAAACUUAAACUUAAAAUUAAACUUAAACUUAAACUACAGAUUAAAAUUUCAUUCUAACUUCAAAAAACUAGAAGGGAAUCAGGUAAUUAUUUGUAAGGCCUGUCCACCCAUGAACAAAGGCUUAUAAAUAAUUAAACAUUAUUAAAAUAACUUCAAAGUAAAAAACCUAAUUACAAAAAUUAAUAAGCUUAAACUUCAUGUUAAAAUUUGUUUCUAAAUAAAACAAUUAUUACUUCAAUUAAAUAUUUUGUGAAUGAUAAAAAUAAAAAAAAAUCUAUUUGCUUCCUCUAUUAAACUUAAACUAGACAUUAAUACGUCAUUCUAACAAAAGAAUUAUUACUCCAAUUAAAUAAUUCAAAAAAAAUUCCUUAACUUCAAAAACUUGAAGAGUCACCUCUAAAUAUUUUUAACUCACAAAUAGCAUCAACAAAAGUUUAUAAGCGGAAGGGUCACGCGUCAAAUUUCUAAGCCACAAAAACCAUGAACAAAGAGGAUUACAAAUAAUUACUCAUAAUAAUUUUAAAAUAAAAAUUCUAAUUCAAAAAAUUAAUACACUUAAACUUUACCUUCAAAUUUUAGUCUAACAAAAAAAAUUAUUACUUCAAUUAAAUAUUUUGUCAAUGAUACAAAUAAAAAUAUUUAUUUGCUUGCUCUAUUAAACUUAAACUACACAUUCAUACUUUAUUCUAAAAAAAAUUACUCUAAUUAAAUAAUUUAUGAAAAAUUCCUCAACUUCAAAAAAAUUUCAGACACAAAAUGGAAGGGUUACACUUAAAAAAAUUUCAGACACAAAAACCAUAAAAAAAGGCUUACAAAUAAUUACUGCUAAUAAUUUUUAAAUAAAAAAUCUAAUUCACAAAAUUAAUACACUUAAAUUUGAGCUUCAAAUUUGAUUCUAACCACAAAAUUUAUUACUUCAAAAUAAAAAAAUUUGUACAUGAUAAAUAAACAAAAUGAAAGAAGGCUUUCUUUAAAUAAAUACAAAAUAUCCUUACUUUAAAUAAAUAGAAGAUAGAAUCAGCAAACUUCAAGCAAAACGAAACGCCUUUCUUUCUCUCUUCACACUACUUUGUUACUCUCUUCAGUGUCAAAUUUUGCAAGUGCUCUAUUUAAAGAAAAUUUACACCAAAGCUGAAGCAUGCAUGUGAUCUGCAACGUAAAUUUACACGCCAUUAAAGCAUGCAUGUGAUCCUAAAACUGUAUGCAUGUGACCCUGCUGCAUGCCUAGCCUGAAAAUCAGCAAUGCCCUAACCUGAUGCCCUAGCCUGUAACCUGCAAUGCAAGAACAGUGCCCUAGCUAGUAGUCUGAUGGGACUUGCAAAUUCACGUCCACGUUGGUCACGCAUGAGCCAAUGGCGGGACUGUCCACAUUGGCACAUGUCCCGCCAUUGGUAUUGGCGGGAUGAGCUGUCUCGUUGGUCUCACAGGAGCCAAUGGCGGGACUGUCCAUGUUGGCACAUGUCCUGCCAUUGGUAUUGGCGGCAUGGUGUGUAUCGCUGUUGGUGCUGGCGGCACCCAGCCACGUCAGCACCAUUCUCGUCAUUGCUAAUGGCGGUAUUAGUGGUAUCGCAAUUGCAGGUGGCGGCUUCCAUGCAAAAACCGACCCCCUCCGUAAAUACUUACAAAAGAGACUCCUUUACGUAAAUAGUUUAUAAAUGUGACCCACUGAGGUAAAUUUGCCUAUUUAAGCCAUAAUAGUCUGCCGUUAUAUAUACUGUAACUCAACAGAGGAUAAAAACUCUGAUCAAAUUAAUUAAAUAACUCAAUAAAAAAAAUUAAUUGAAUAAAUCAUUUAUUUUUUUCAUUUGCCGACCAUUUUUCUUUUGGUACAUUUUGUUAUUUUUAUCACAUUUUUUCCAUUUUUUUCAUUUUCUUAAUUUUUUCCUUCACUCUUAUUAAGUUUAUAGAUUAGGGCUAGCCAGACUCGGUGGAGGGUUAAUGUGCUAAUGAAAUGUGUAAAAACUAACAAGCUAUUUUAUGAAUGGAGCUUACUAAUAACAGUAGCAAAUAGCAUGUUAGGAUUGUCGGUUUGAAUAGUAUUCCAUGAAUGAAUGAGUGGCUAUUAUUAUGAGAGGAUAGCUUUUGGGAUAUUUUCCAUGGCUUGAUUAGAAAGGGUUUUGUUUGUACGCACUGUGUGUCACACGUUUCUAUACGAUGGCCUGGGAUUUUUUUAUUUGUGGCUGUCAACCAUAGUCUUCCCUAGAGUUUGGGUAAAAAUUAAUCCUGCAUUUGCAAGUUCUAAGAAUUGUGGCAGGGUGAGACUGAGCAGAAUAAGGACCUUUAACACUGAUUUGCACUCCCUGAAGACCAAGCUCAUUCAGCCAGGCAAUGAAAAAGGGUCAAAGCUUCAGCCUUUAAUGGAAGAAUAUUUCCAUCAGAACAAAACGUUUUGGCCCUGAAAAACACACCUCUAUUGCAUGCGGGGGUGUAAAAAUUCCUAUUCUCAUUAUAACCCAACAUAAAUUGAAUAGAUUUUUUUUUGAAAUAAUUCAAGAAAAAAGAAAUGCUUUGAUUUAUAAAACAAAUUCAAUUAACAAAAUUAUUUGUACAAAACGAAAUUGGUUAACUAAACUAGUUUUCAUUUGAAUAUUUUAUUUGAAAAAAGAAAAUUUGAAAAUCAGUUUAAAGUUAAUCUGAUCCUUAUAAUUAGUUUAAAAUUAAUUAAAAAUCAGUUUAGAAUUAAUUUUUUUAGAACUAAUUCGAUUCUGAACUAAUUUUUAAAUUAAUUUAAUUAUUUAAAUAUAAAAUUAAACUAAAAUAAUUUAAAAUUAAUUCAAUUUGAGUUUUUUUUUAUCAAACUAGUUAUUGCAUACGGGUGAAGUCUCAUCCCUUAUGCAGAUUUCCACUCCAAACUCACCUUUGGGACCAAAAACAGCACUCUGUUAGGCGCUUUUCCCAUUCGGCAGGUUGCAACUGCUUAUUAGAAGAUAAUUAAGAAUAAUCAAUAGAAUAAGAACAUGAAGAACGAGGGUUUUCCACUCUCUAAAGCCAUUUUUAGCUCUCUGCACAACUGCAAAAGGGGUCUGAACCUUGCCUUCCCAAAUCAUAACAACCUCAAUUAUUUUCUUUUCAUAUUCUAAUUAAGUUCAAUUAAAUCUUUUUUUCACAUUUACUUACCAUAAAUAUAUUUCUGAUAUUGCUCCACCUACUUCCUUUAUAUAUAUAUAUAUAUAUAUAUAUAUAUAUAUAUAUAUAUAUAUAUAUGGAGAUAAAGAUACAUCAGAUAAUCAUAUCAUAUAUCAUGUUAAUGCUUUCUAAUUUGUAUAAAUAAUAUUAUUUUUGAAAUAUUUAUUUUAUAGUAUAAUUUUAAGAAGUAUUUUUACACUUUUAUUCAAAUAAUUUAAUAAACUAUUUAUUUUGUUUCAAUACUUUUAACAAUUUCAAAUUAUAUCACAUACAAACAUUAAUUUACAAAUAAUUUAUACAAUGAAUAUAUGUUAUUUUAAACAUGUUUUUAUGUGUAAUUCCAACAAACAUUUUACAUUGAAUUACUUUCAUAAUUUAAUGUAAUAUUUUUAAAAAUAUUUAGAUAUAUAUCUCAAAACUAUAUCAUUUAAAUUAUUUAUAGACUUAAAUAUGUUUUUAUUCCUAAUAAAUACUUCAUAUGUAUGUUUGUUUCCCAGUAAAACAACAAUUUUAUUUUUUUGCCUUUCAUAUUUUAUUUGUCCUAGUUGAAUUAAUAAAUUUUGUGUUUAUUGUUUGAAAAUAAAAAAAUUUAUUCCCAACUAUUAACAAAUGAAAUUUUUUAUUAAGGAAAAAAAUUAAAAAUUUAACUAAUUGAUAAUAGACUAACAAAAAGUAUCAAGGAUAAAAAAUAAAAUUAUUUUAUUAAGAAUCCAAUAUAAAGAAAAAUUUAUCUAAAAACAAACAUAAAUUUUUUAUAUUUAUUAAGAAUCAAAAUAUAUUCUAAGUCUUAUUAAUUUAUAAACCCACACAACAGACCAAUAGUUAAUUUUUAAUAAUUCUGACAAAAAAAUGAAAAAAUGGCAGCAACUGAUAUUCACAUAAAGCUAGCACAUCAACAUGAAAAUUUUGCCGGUCCCUUUUGUUAUACACAUUCCAAGCUCUAAGCAGAAGAACUGGGUAUUUUGUACUGUUUCGCAUAAUAUUCUUAAUAGAGUUUUGGAAUCAGUUUCUAGUUUGCUUUUGCCACCUUGCAUUUCCAUGUCACUAGCAAAUUUUAAGUGUUCGAUCAACUCUCGGGUCUGCAAAAUAAUACUGAUUAUUUUACAUGCUUUCUGAGACAUGAUUAUUGCAAGAAGAUAAAGAAGAUAUUUUCUAUCAUUAAUAAAUUAUAGGUGGUCCCACCAAGUUCGGAUAAAGAAGAAAGAUUGUAUUAAGUCAUCAGCAGUAAAAAAAAUUAAAAUAUUAAGAAAAAAAUAAUUUUUUUUAUUACAAAACAAAUAUAAAUCUCUGAUAUACAUGAAGAAAAACCAACAUAGUUAGUCUAAUUAAAUUCAAGAUAUCUAACAUCUUACACAUAUUUAAUUUAAUGAAGACUUUAGUGUGUUUAGUCAAUUUUGGUGACUGACUUAUCAUUAAAGAAAUUUAAGAAGCCUAACAUCAUAUAUAUAUAUAGAGAGAGAGUUUAAUGAUAGUACGCCAAUACAUAAUAAUAAUAAUUUAAAAUGUAUGUGUAAAAAGAACAACUUAAAUAGCUCAGCAGAGCAUAAUAAACUCUGAUCAAACUAAUUAAUAACUCAAAUGUACACCAUUAAGUUUAUAUAUUGAGGCCGGCCAGAUUCAGUGCAGGGUUAAUGAAGUGAUGAAAUAAGUAAUAAGCUAUUUUUAUGAACGAUCUUUGCUAGCAAAUACAGUAGCACAUGUUAGGAAUAUCAGUGUGAGCUUUAUUCCAUGAAUGAAUCAGUGGCUAUAAUUCUACUAAGGGUAGCUUUUGGAAUAUUUUCCAUGACUUUUUUUAAUCACUGUGUGUCACGCGUUUGAGUACGAUUGCUUUAAUUUGGGUUGGUGAACAUCUUUUUCUUUGCUGGCCAGUCAACCGUUACCAUAGUCUUCCCUACAAUACUGAUAUUAACAACAGCUGUAUUUUGCUCACUGUCUUGGCACUUGGGAUAUUUUCGGAAAAUAAUGAACCUACUAUAUUUUAGAAUUUAUUUAGGAGAAAGGUUCCUCCAAAACAAACAUGAGUUCUUUAUCUAAUCAUUGUUGGGAUUUUCUAUUUCAAUAAUAAUUAAUAUGAGUUAAUAUUAUAAGAUAAUUCUAUUAAUUAUUUAUUGUUAUUGGAUUUUAUGUUAUGUGAUCAAAUUAAGUAAUCUCGUUAGACAACCAAAUUCGAUAAUAUGGAUUUAAAGGAGCAUAUGUCAGUGUUGGUCCAUUAAGAGAUAAUGAGAACCUUAUUAGAUUAAUACAUUACAAAUCGUCCCCCCAAUACACUAAAUCACCGACACAUAGAUAGUUUCUCUUCUUGAGGGAAUUGAAUAAUACUUUGCCAAAAACGAAAAGGCGGAAACGAGUAACCUUUUGGCUAAACUCAUCUCCAUGAAGUAUAAGGGCAAAAGUUAUAUAAAAAAGUUUUUGCUCAUAUAAUUUUUGUUUUUGUUUAUUAUUAUUAUUAUUAUUAUUAUUAUUAUUAUUAUUAUUAUUAUUAUUGUUGUUGUUGUUGUCGUUGUUGUUGUUUUUUUGUUAAAAAAGGGGAAAACAAAAGGUGCCCUUAGCAAAAGAAACAAAACAAAGAUGCAAUAUUUACUUGGGGUAUUUUAAGUGUAAAUCAAUGAUAGCAUUAAAUAUAAUUUAAGGAUAUGAUAUUUACUUGUCGUAAUUAAUGUUUUAUAUUUUUUUAGUAUCAUGAUGGAAGUUAAUUUAACAUAUCCUUUCCAUUUAUUUGCAUAUCUAGUGAUUUUUUUAAUUAAAUUGAUUGUUACGAUAUAUUGUCAAGGUAAUCCCUAUUGUGAAAAUUAAUUUGAUUAAAAUUACAAAUUUUUGUAUAAAAUCAUUUAUGUGAAUUAUGUUCAGACCAAAGGAAUACACAAUUUGACCAAAUAAUAUUUUAUAUUUGUGAUGAUAAAUGUGUGACAAUUAUAAGGUAUUUUCAUGUGAAUAAUAGUCGGUCCAAAGAAAGACUAUUAUUUGACAGAUUUAUUGUUAAUAUUUGAUCGUUGCAUUAAGAGUACCAAUUACAAAUUAAUUUAUCUAGAAAUUAAUGUUGUGUUAGGUAUCUUGUAAUGGGUGUGUUCCGUAAAAUAUUUACAUGUUUUAUUAUAUAUUUUUUAUAUAACUAAAUUAUAUGUGAAAGUUGUGUAAUUUUAAUACCUCUCAUUUAUUAUAUUAAAUUGUCUUGUAUUUUUUGGUUUAAUUGAUUGAAACAACAUGUUGUCAAAGUAACCUUUGUUGCAUAAGCUGAUUUGAUUGAAUUUACAUGGAUGUUGCAUGAAAUUAUUCAUGCGAAUUGUGCUCGGCCCAAAGGAAAACACAAUUUGGUAGAAUAAUUAUUGCUUGCGAUGGUAAACAUGUGGUGAUUAUAAAUAGUGUGAUUUUCCAUGUGAAUAAUGAAAUGUUCAAAGGCAAUCAUUAUUUGACCGGGGUAAUUAUCAUAUAAGUUUUUCAUGUGAGCAAUGAAGUGUCCAACGACAACUUUUGUUUGACAGGACUUAUCACCAAUGUUUGAUCAAUGCGUUGAGAGUAUCACUUGCAAUUAAUCUUUUUCGAUCCAAAGAUUGAGGAUUAAUGCGCUAGGUAUCAUGUUUGGCUCUUGAAAUUUACCAUAAAUAUUAUUUUUGUAUUGUAUGUGUAUAUUCUCUUCUUUAAUUAUUGUUGCUACUACUAUGAUUUAAAUUACUCACAUUAUUUAAAUCUCAAAUAUGCAUGUAUAAAAUAAUUUGUAUGGGGGUCCUAAGGUGAUAUAUGAUUAAUCUUGGUAUGCAACACUAGAAAAUAGUAAAACACAUUAUGCGUUAAUUGAAGAGAACAAGAAAUUACAUGUUUUCAUAUCAAAAGUCUAGAAGUUUAGAGAUCAUUGAGUAUUAUGACUUUGAUUUUUUCGAAAUGUCUUAAUAGUAAUCACUCCACAUAAGGAUCCACAUUUAAUCGUGUUGGUGGAGUUAAUAUUUAGCUAUGAGACAUCAUACUAGAAUUUAUAACUGCUAAAUUAUUGUAACUCGCUUGCUUGUUGUUGCCAACAUUAAUUAGCCAUCAGAUGUUUAUUGCAACAAUAUCUUAAUGAUAUCAUUAAAGAUUCAACUAAGUCAAAGUUUGUUGACAUAAAAUAUUUGGUUCUUAAAUAAAGAAUUCAAAAAAUAAAGAUUUGUAUAGAACAUAUAGGAACUCAUUUCAUUCUAGCUGAUUUACUUACUAAAGGUAUGACACUUAAAGUUUUUCAUGAGCACAUUGUUCAUAUGGGUGUAAUUCCUGAUAGUACCUUAGUUUAGUGGGAGUCUUACUUAUGUUAUAUAUCUUACAGUUUACAAGCAUGUUGUGUUUGGAUUGAUCUAUAUAAAGAAUAAAGUUUGGAUCAGUUGGAAAUAGACAUGACUAAGAUCACAUUACAUGUAAUUUCCAUGUUAUUUAUCCAUAUUGACCUAUGUCAUUGAAUGUAUUGAUGUGAUGGUCAUUGGGGUCUAGUUACAUUUGUUGUAGUGACAAAAGCCGUGAUGAUUCCAUUAUUGAUACAUGAGAUGAACCAGAUUGUUAAGGUGAAAGUUUAAAAAUAAAUAGCAUACAUAUGCACGCUUAAGGAUUCUUUAUAUAAUUUGUACAAUAUAUAUGUAGCCCAAGUGGGAGAUUGUUGAAAUUUUCUAUUUUAAUAAUUAAUGUGGGUUAAUAUUAUAAGACAAUUACAUUAGUUAUUUAUCAUUAGUGGGUUUUAUUUUAUGUGAUCAAAUCAAGUGAGUCCCUUAGACAACCAAAUAAGAUGAUAUGAACUUAAAUGAACUUAGAAGAUAAUGAGAACCCUAUUAGGUUAACACAUUAUAAGAAGGCUAUGGUCCCCAAUAUACCGAGCCGCUGACACAUAUGGUUUCUCUUUUCCCCACCUGAAGAGUUAUGAAGGUCUUAUUAAAGAAUAAAAAGGUUCCGGUUGAAGAAGAACCAUGAAGCCACCGGUUACAUUGUUAGCAUUCUGUAACAGGUCCUAUGAAGAGCACAUAGAUAAGAAAUCACAUAAAGAUUCAAUUUCCCUUGUGUUUUUUUCAUCAAUCAUGAUGGACCCAAGUAUUCCUAAAACUCUUCCUGAUAAUAUAAGGUAAUGUGUUCCUGAUAUUUAUAUUUUAUUGGUAUUUUAUAAGGAUCCCUGAAAAUUUACAACUAUCACUACCAAAACCAAAACCAGUAUAUCCAAUCUUAAUAUAACUUAGGUUAUCUUAGGAUUGGAGUUGGUAAAUAUUUUUCUCAAUUUUAAUACAAUAAAAAAAUUUAAUACACCAAAUGAAAUAAGAAAAAAUGUUACUUAUAGAAUAAAAAUACUUUUGACCUCUCACAACUUUAACCAACUAUCACUACCAAAACCAAAACCAGUAUAUCCAAUCUUAAUAUAACUUAGGUUAUCUUAGGAUUGGAGUUGGUAAAUAUUUUUCUCAAUUUUAAUACACAAUAAAAAAAUUUAAUACACCAAAUGAAAUAAGAAAAAAUGUUACUUAUAGGAUAAAAAUACUUUUGACCUCUCACAACUUUAACCAAACAUGCAUUUAAAUAUACCAUAACGAUUUUAUCUUACUAGAUGAUUUACAUACAUUUUAGUUACUUUGCUCAUUUAAGUGUAAUAUAUAUAUAUAGAAAUAAAACUGCUUUAUUAGGAAGUUAGGGAAUAAAUUGCACAUUCAGUUCCCAACUUGCUUGUCAUCUUGCAUUUUCAUGCCACCGGCAGAUUUGAAUUCUUCAUUCAACAUUUUCUAUCAUUAAUAAAUUAUAGCCCGUCCCAUAAGGCUCAAUUAAAGUCAAUUAUAAAACCAAUUAUAUGUGGGAAAUGAAAAAGACAAAAUAAUUGGAAAAUAUGUCUUAUUAAAAAAAUUAAAGAAUAGAUGUAGGUUAAAUAGAAGAAAAAUAAUGUUUUGAUUAAAGUUUUGUUGAGAGUCUCAUUUGUUUAAUUAGAAGAAAAAAUAACAUAACAUGCAUAACAUACCAUAAAAUUUUUUGAUGUACCUAUUGAUAUUCACACAAUUAAUAAAAAAUGACUAUUGAUUCAAAUGACAUUUUUAUGUCCACUCAUUACUAUUGAUCUUAAUGUUUUUUAGAUUUUGGCUUCAUUCAUUUUUUUUCUCACCAAUUUUUUUUUUGGCAUCUACCCAAUCUUUUCAUUUCACCAUCACAUCCAUUAACAUAUAUCAUAUCAUGUGUUAUUUUUCAUAUUCUAAUUAAGACUCAUUAAAGCCUAUUAUUUUUUUCUUAAACAAAAAAUAUAUAUUGUAAAUUUAAGAUAUAAAAUAAAAGUAAAAUUAUUAUUAAGAUAUAGUAUUUAUAGUAUAGUAGUAAAAGUACAAAUAUAAUAACAAAAAGAUGAUACAAGAUAAAAUAUCAACAAAAUGACAAAGGAACAAAAAAUGUUUAAACUUUUACAUAUUAAAACUAGACAGUUUAUUAUUUUCUUUACAAUUAAAUCAAAAGUUGUUAAAGCAAUAUAAUAAAUUAUUGGAUGGAAAAAAUUUAUUAUAUUAUUUGUAAUAAACUUGUUAGUAAAAAUACAUAUGUAAAUGGCGUUGUAAAAUACUUAAGAUGUCUGAUUACAUAUUAAUAAAAUUAUUAGAAAGAUUAUUUUGCAUUUACUUUAAACUCCAAUGAAAAAAAAAAGUAAAUUGCACUUGCAUUACCUAUAUUUUACUCCAAUUUUACCUAAUACUCCAAUUUUUAGUUUUUUUGGCAUCACUUUGACUCCCUUUAAUAAAAUGGUGUUAAUUAAUGGUUAUAAUUUUAUGUUGAAUGAUGAAAUUACCAUUUUCUUUUUUUCUACAUUAACACAACCUCACAAUAUUCUUGUGCCUAAUCCUCCUUGACGUCUCAACUUCAACAUCAAAUUCAUCAUCUUCCUCAAAAACCAACACUUUUAUCUACAUUUGUAGGUGCUUUACCUCCACCAGCUCACUAUUGCUAUGUACCACCUUGUACACCUUCCUAGAUGCUCCACUUCCUUGUACACCAGCUCAAUGAUCUUGUUCUUUCAUCGUACUCUUUGCACAUACAUGAGUGAUAUCCCUACAAAUGUCCUAUGAAAUUUGUCCUAAAAAUCUGUCUAAUAUACAAAUUAUGAACAAUUAUGCUGGAUAUCUUACAUAAAGAUAGACAAAUAAUUAGGGAUAUACAUGAUUAUGUACAAAUAAUCUCAUUACUCCCUUCAAGUUGGAGUAUGCAAAUCGCAAAUGUCCAUAUUGUGCAAUAAGUAAAUCGAGUACUUAGUUGGACCAAGUGCUUUGGUGAGUAUAUAAAUCAAGUCUGAGGUCUUAAGAAGGGAUAGAAGUAGGUUAGAUCCUAUGGCAACUUGGUCAGGCUCAUUUAGCAAAAAAAAUCAAACUGAGUUUUUUUUAAAAAACUUGUUUAGUUAAAAAGGCCAGACAUGGUCUUAAGAAAAACUUAUGAGAUUUGAUGGCUUAAUCCAUUUAGCAAUAAUAUAUUUUUAAAUAAAAAUAUUAUUAUUAAUAUGAUAUAUAAUAUUAUAAUCUAAAAUAAAAUUAGAAAUCCUAUUUCCUUAAGUUUUCUCUACGCAAGUAUGAAGUAAUGCAACUAGUGUUCUUAUAAAACAAAAUAAUCUAAAAACAUGUGAUUAGAAUAAAUCGGAAGAGUGAAUAACAUGGUGGCAAAAGUCAAAUUUGAUAUGGCUGAGGUGAUUAUGCACAAAAGAUACCUUAAAAUUAUAUUGACAUUUAAAUUGGUUUAAGGAUCAGUGUACUUAUAUAAUGUCAGGGCCAAACAUAAAAAAUAAGACGGUCACGUAUAAUAGGUUUAUGCUUGGGCUAUAAAGUUAUAAAGUGGGUUAGACUAUGCUUAGGUAAAGUUUGACUCUGUCUAAACCAUUUUCACAUCUAGACAUAAGUAGGUCCAAUGUUGUCAUUUUGAAUUUCAUCAUGAAUAAAAUGACAGUCAACUUCGAUAUGUUUGGUAAGUUCAUGAAAAACUAAGGGAGUGUUUGGUUUGUCUGUUUUUUGUUUUCAUUUUCACUGAAAACAGAAAAUAGUGAUGAAAAUGUGUUUGGUUGGAUUUUUGAAAACAUUUUCAGUGAAAAUAAAAACAGAAAACAACCAGAAAAUGAAAACAAUAAAAUUUCAUUUUCAAUGUUUUCAGUUGAAAACAGGAACUUCAUUUUGGGUAAAAUGAAAAUGAGAUGACAAUGAAUGUAAUUUAAGCAAAUUUAAAAAUACAAAAAAGACAAGAAAUCAAUAUAUCAUAAAUUUUCAGUGUUUUUAUUUCCUAAAAACAAAAAACAAGAAGUCAAACCAAACAUAUUUUCAGAAUUCUAAUCUUUUGAAAAUAAAAACAGUUUUCAGAAAAUGAAAACAGGAAAUGAAAAACAGAAAAUGAAAAUGCAAUCCAAACACACCCUAACUUUUUGGUGGUGAUCACAAUGAAGAUGGAUAGGUUGAGAACGUGAGAUACUAAGGUUGAAAAGAAUUUUCUUUAACCAUUUUUACUCGUAAAUAAUCGUUAGCAUGAAAUGGUAUUCAACUUUAGUGGAUGAGCAUGAAAUCAUGGGUUGCUUUUUUAGUUUUCCACGAAAUGGAAAAGUUUCCCAAAUGAAUAAAGCAUCAUGUGAGAUGUACCGUCCUUCGAUAUAAUAACAACCCGUAAUAAAAAUAUACUCUAAAAUGCCUAUAAGAUAUGGAUUUAGAAAUUUCAUUGGUUCAAAAUACUUCAAAUAUUAUAAUAAAUGAGUCCUUACAUAAUUAAACAAUUGUAUCCUCAAAUAUGGGUAUCUACAAAGUUGAACUAACAAUAAACUAAGUAUUCAAUUCUCCUUCGUCUGAAAAGUUUCUUCAUUGAACUCUGAAAACAACACUUUUAAUGAGAUAAUAAUCCUAUUGAAUAAAACAAUUUCUAAAAGAUUUCGCAAAUAAUGUUCUCAAUCGACGCAAUAACCUAAAAAUCCAAUCAUUGUAUCCGCAAAAUUAAAUUUAAAAUAAUAUAUACAUACUUAUAAACAAUCACAAAUUAUUCACACAAUGAAAUAACACUCCGGUCAAUAAACAUCAACAGUUCACUACAUUCAAUUCUUGAACAAACUAACAAAUAUCACAACACAACAUAGUGAUUCCCAGAAUCAUUAGCCUCAACUAUUUGGUUCCUGAACCAGUGUGGAUCUCAGACUCUUCAAAUGAUCUAUGAGCUCAUAUUCAUGCAAUAAUGUCUCACUACACCAUCCCUAUCAUAGAUGAAGGUGUCAAGAAUCUUUUUCUCAUCCCAUAUGAAGGUAUCUAUAAUCUCAUCUAUAACAUUCCAUUUUUCGUAAAUAAAUUUAAUUUUUUAUUAUUUAAAAAUAAAUAAAAUUGAAAAAAAAUGAUGAGAUUUUUAUAAUUAAAUAAAUAAGGAGAAAUAACUUUAUUAAUUAAAAUAAUGGUUUGAAAGAAAAUAAAAAAAAGAUAUUUGAUUUAUUCAUUUGAUAAAAAAUAAAUUACAGUAUUUCUUUAUAAAAUAAUAAAUAAAGAAAAUAGAGUAAAUAAUAGGUUGAGAGUAUCCUAACUAUAAAUAGAGACAUGUUAUGUCAGUUUUCAGACAAACGAUAGUCUUUACGGUUUCUCUUCCUCUCAAUUUCGUUUUCCCUUUUCCUCCUCUCAAAACUCUCUUUCUUUUUCCCACAUACACUUAAACCUGUCCUAGUAAAAUGACGAUCUCAAACUUGUUAACCGUUGGAUCAUCAAGAAAUUUGAGCAUCAGGUUUGGAACUCAUCUCUGAACAUUCUCACCAUUAGAAUUUGCGAAACAAUGUCAUCAGAGGUGAUAAAGAUUCCCUUUUAUUGUAGCUUUCUCUUUUCCCGUAGAGACCCAAAACCUAUCCUAGUAAAACUACAAUCCCGUAUUCGUUAAUCGUUGGAUCAUUGUAAAAUUUGGACACCAGCUUUGGAAUUCAUUUUCGCAAAUCACCAUUGGGAUGUGCGGAAUAAUGUUUUUGCAGAGAGAAAUUAGUGUCGCACGUUGACAGUAAAAUGGAGGUUAUAAUAUCUUCUCAUUAUCUCUAAUGCUUGGAAACCCUAACAGAGCAAAAAGAGGAAAAACUUGAGGAAUCUUAAGGAAUUGCCAGAGACACCGCUAUCAUUACUGGACUACAUACAUGAGCCCGCUUAGAGGUAAAGGUUGAGUUUAUCGCCAUUGAGAUUAGAAUAAAUAUGUGUAGGAAUUCUUAGGAGAUCAAAUUGGGGUUUAUUUUAGGAUGUUUAUUGUAUUGUAAUUCUUUCUGUAUGAUUAUGUGAACUAUUUGAGGGAUUUUACUCCCUGUGUUGUGAGAAACAUUUUUGUAUGAUUUGUUUGUGUUUUGGAUAAGAUUAGCAUGAUAAAUAGUUACACUAGGAUCAUUAAAUUGUGAUUGAAAUUUUGUAUAAGUGAUAAAUUGAAUAUGUGAUGAAUUGUGAGAUAACACAUUGCUUUGAGAUUAUAACAUUGUUAUUGAGAUUGAGUAUAAGUGCAAAGUUGAAUGUGUUAAUUUGUGAGAUACACGUAAACAUGUGAUGAUGGAUUGUGACAUUAUGAGACGUUAAAUUGUGGACAUGAGAUUUGAUUGUGAAUAAGUAUAUGGUUAACACUUGAUAAGGCAAUACUUGUACUGUGAGCUGUGAAUUAUACAAUAACCUGACCAGUGUUUACCUUGAGAAAAGUGUUUAUGCACAGUGUUAAAGGGAAAAUGUAGGAUUCAUAUUUAGGAACCAAUGUUAAAUUAUAGCACAAUAUGUUGAAUGUGUUUGAAACACGAGUGUGGGGUCGUGGGUAUUAUAUAAUUCAUGAGUAGUAUCUACGUGCAAAAAUGGUUUUAGGGGUGGGACUUGAAUUAGGAAGGUGAGACCCUAACCAAUUCUUCGGAGUCUAGGCCUUGGGGGUAAAGGCACUCGGUUUGAAUGCUCCUUUAAGCCUAUGUUGAUUUCAUAUGGUUGGAGCAUUCAUGUAAAACAGAGUGAACCUGAUUGGUUACCUUAUGAUUUUACUUAGUGAGAGUGACCUGACAUACCCAUUGUAUGGUGUGUCUUGUUAUGUACUUCUAAGUGUCUCAGGUGAUUUUUUACUGACAUGAUACCACAUUACAUAUAGGCUUGAGUUUUAGUAUAAUUGUUGCAUAACACUUGCUAAUUGUUUAUCAUGAAAUUGAAGAGUGUUAUUACAUCUUGACUUGAAUGUGUGAUUCAUAUAUAAUGUGAUAGGUGAUUGAAGAAUGAAAUUUUAAAUGAUCAAGUGGUGAAGUGAUGUGAGUUGUAUUAAGUUGAACUAUGUUAUAAAUAUUUUUAUAAUAUAUUUGGAUUAUGUCUUUAUUUAUUUGUAUUUUUUUAAAUGUGAUAACUUACUCACUGUGUGCUAUUUGUGUUUAGAUCCUGUGAUGAUCUCAAACUUUGGGUUCGUGGGAGCAGAUGACUAGGUGGAUGACUUUAAAUAACAGUGCUAGAGGACGCUGGAACGCAAUGCUCUGAUAGGAUGUGACAUUGGGAAUGAGUUUUUAUUUUAAUUGCAUGAUGCUAUUUUAUUUUAUUUUAUCUCACUUAUUUAACACAAUUUCUUUUGUAAACUUUGACAGUCUUGCUCCGAGCUGAAUAUGUAUUUGUAUAAGUUUUAUUUGACUAUUAAAGCGAAUGUGAGCCUUUUACCCUUUUGAAAUACUUUUAUUUAAAUGUUUUUGAAAACUAUUAAUUAGUUAUGCUUUUUUAUUCCUUUUAUUAUUAGUAUAUAUAUGUGUAAGAUAGAGGGUGUCACAUCAUUGUCAUUCCAGAUGGAGGUAUCUCAUAUCUCUUCUCCAUCUCAAGUAAAAGUAUCUCAUGCAUAUUCAAUUAUCAAAAUAAGAUAUAUACUUUCAGUUUUAGAGUUUAAAAUCUUUGUGCAAAUAAAUGUAAAAGAUUUUUUUACUAUGGUAGGAAAAUCCAGCAUUUACAGUUGGCUUACAUUUAUCUUAUUUUAAGGAGACAAGCUGUUGGAGUUUUCUGCAAGUGAUUUUUUGUCUUUUAAUUGUUGUUUUAUUGCUUGAUAACUAUGGAUAUGAUUAUUAGUUAUAAAUAGAAAUAAAAUAUAAUUUGUAGAUAUGUUGUGUGGUAAAAAUUUAUUUUAAUCUUUGUAUGACAAACCUUGAAUACGGUUUGAAAUUCUAAAUAUAAAGUUGGGUUUAUAAAAAGUAAGUAAAUAGAUAUUAUAAACUUCAGUUUUUAAGUAUCUUGCUAAAUAAGAUUCACGUUAGACCCCUUUCUGUGUUAACAUAUUACAGACUAUGUAUUUGAUUAAAAAUUAUGAAAUCAAGGCAAUAGAUAUGUUUAACGUACUCAAGCAUUCUGAUGUUGUACUAACAAACAUUGUUUUAUUGUUUUUAUUCUCUAAUCAAAUUCCUGGUUGCAGCAAUUUAUUUCCUUUUUCUAUGUGGUUUCUUUGGUAAGGUUGUGGCAAGAAAUUUAUUGCCGGAACUUGAUACAACUUUAUCAGUUAACUGUGUUCUGCCGCUGCCUUUUCUGUUUUCAUGCAAAUAAAUCAUAAACAAAGAGAAGAUUGAAUUAUUUGGUUAAAAUUAUGUUGAAAUUUGAAAACGUCUCACUCUCACCAGAACCGUUUUAUCUAUGACUUGAUGGUUUGCUUUUCUUAAUUCUUAUUUAUGCAAUAUGGGCAGUUUAAAAGCCAUUUCCAUGAAGUUCGAGUUCUCCCUUACUGCAUAUCAAUUGCCUGUGAUAACUAUGAAGUAUGAAUAGUGUCAUCAAAUUUUGCCCGAAUGUAGAUAUGGGGCAGACAUUGCACGAGGGAUUGUUGAGUUACAUGCUGCAGGCAUUGUUUGCAUGAAUAUAAAAACAUCCAAUCUUCUUCUUGAUUCAACUGGCCUUGCUGUGAUUUCUGAUUACUGCUAUUCUGAAGAAGCAUUCCUGUUGGAAGGGCCAACCUGAGCAUGACUCCUCAAACACAUUAUACAGCUCCAGAGGCUUGGGGGCAACUUCUGAAGAAAUCAUUAAAUUUGUUCUGGGAUGAUGCAAUAGGUAUAUCAGCAGAGUCUGAUGCCUGGAGUUUUGGUUGUACACUGGUGGAGAUGGGCACGGGUUUUGUUCCGUACAUGGAUCAACUCAUCAUUCAAUUUUUCUUUUUCUUUGCAUUCUGGUUUUCUAGAGUUGCAUAUCGCAAAUUCUAUGCUUGUGUAGUUGGGCUGGUUUAAGUUCGGAGGAAAUUUAUCAAGCAGUUGUCAAGGCAAAGAAACUGCUUCCACACUAUGCCAGUGUGGUUGGUGGUGGAAUACCUAGUGAUUUGUGGAGGUUGAUUGGAGAGUGCUUGCAGUUCAAGCCAUCUAAAAGGCCUAGUUUAACUGCAAUGUUGGCAAUAUUUCUCCGUCAUUCGCAGGGAAUGCCGCGCAGCCUUCCUGCAAGCCCAAAUAAGUAAGCCCAUUAUAAUUAUCCAUGACUUGUAUCUUCUAUGCUGUUUUUAUGGCAUCUGAUUGAGCAGUCAAAAUGUAGCCUAUUUAUAGUUUUAGAUGUGUGGUGUGGAAAUGAGCCAAAUUUGCAGUUGUCGUAGAUGCCAAACAAUUGACUUGUACAUGUUUUAUAUUUUUGUAAAUACAGUGAUAGAGUUGUCCCCUGUGCAAGAAUUAGAAGUUUCUCAGAAAAACCCAUUCCAUCUUCAUCAAUGUGUGUCUCGGGGAUGUUAGAAGUGUUAGGUCAGUUGGUGCAUCAAAGUCACAAACAAUCUUCCUUGAGCUUGCUUUCAUUUUCAUUUUGCAAUUCAUUCUUUUUCUUUGUACUUUCCGUACAGUGAUCUUCUUUUCAAGGCUGCAUCAGACUAUGGCAGCAACAGCCUAUCUUCUCUGCUGGAAGCUCAAAAUGCUGAUGAACAAACUGCUCUCCACUUAGCUUGUAGAUGUGGCAGUGCAGAACUUGUUGAGGCAAUUUUGGAGUAUGAAGAGGCAAAUGUUGAUGUCUUGGACAAAGAUGGAGAUCCUCCUCUUGCUUAUGCAUUAGCUGCUGGAUCCCCAGAAUGCGUUCGCAGUCUUAUCAAAAGAGGUGCUAAUGUGAGGCCACAAUUAAGAGAUGGCUUUGGCCCAUCUGUUGCUCAUGUUUGUGCACAUCAUGGCCAACCAGAAUGCAUGCGAGUAUGUUUUACUUUAAUCAUAUUCAGGUUCGUCUUUGCAUUUACUAGAGCUAUAUUCAUAUAAAUAUAUGGUAAAAUAACAGGAAUUACUAUUAGCUGGAGCUGAUCCUAAUGCAGUGGAUGAUGAAGGUGAAUCUAUCCUGCAUAGAGCAGUUCCCAAGAAGUGUUGGACAUUUUAGUGUAAUUGAUCUCUUUAUUAUGUUAAAAUAAGAGUGCACGCUUGUUUUAAUGUAAUAACGAGAUGCUCGGUUUAGGCAAAUUUUGGAAGUUACAUGGAAGUCAAAUUUUGGAAGUUACAUGGAAGUUAUUUUUCAAGAAAAGAAAGUUUUUUUAAAAAAGAUAAACUUCCAUCAACCGCCAACCGUUUUAUUUUAAAGGAUAAAACUUCCAUAACUUCCUUCAACCGCCAAAAACCACCUGUUCUUUGAUUAUAAAUAAUCAUCCUGGUUCAGAAAGCAUAACAUGUGAAAAACAUACAAGACCAAAACAAAACUCUUGAAUUAUAAUCUUCUGAUUUUAUCCGAUUGAACAAUUUUGGUUGAACCCCGAAAUUUGAUUCAAUCUGAAAGUGUUUAUACACGACUUCAGAUUUAUCCAGGAUUAUCUCGAUUUUCAAAAUUAACCAACAAAAGAUUGAAUCAAAUCUUUCGAGAUGACGAACGAUAGUUCGAAGAUGACAAGCAAGUUUGCAAAGUUGGACAAGUUUGAAGGGUAGGAUUUCAGAAGAUGGCAGAAGAAGAUGCACUUUCUCUUGACAACAUUGAAUGUGGUGUAUGUGCUGAGUACACCGAUGCCGGUGUAUAUGGAAGGCGAAACUCUGGAUCAAACAAGGAAGCGUUCGAAAUGGGAGAACGACGAUUACAUUUGUCGUGGACAUAUUCUGAACGGUAUGUCUGACUCUCUCUUUGAUAUUUAUCAAAAUGUUGAGUCUGCUAAGGAAUUAUGGGACUCUCUUGAAUCCAAGUAUAUGGCAGAAGAUGCCUCAAGUAACAAAUUCUUAGUUAGUAAUUUCUUUAAUUACAAAAUGAUUGAUUCGAGGCCUGUUAUGGAGCAAUAUAAUGAACUGCUGCGGAUUUUGGGUCAGUUUACUCAACAUGAUUUGAAAAUGGAUGAAUCCAUUGCAGUUUCAUCUAUAAUUGAUAAACUGCCUUCUUCUUGGAAAGACUUCAAGCAUACCUUGAAACAUAAGAAGGAAGAGUUGACUCUGGUUUAACUCGGUAGUCAUUUCAUGAUUGAGGAGUCGCUGAGGGCUCAGGAAAUUGACAAAGUCAAUAAUAAAACCGUAGCAGGUUCCUCUUCCGUUAAUAUGGUAGAGGAAAGUGGAACAGUUAAGCAAAAUUACAAUGCUAAAGGUAACAAAUGAAAAUUUCAAGGAAAUAAGAACAAAGGUCCAAACAAACAGACAAAAUUGUCUUGUUGGAAGUGUGGGAAACCUGGUCAUUUAAAGAGGGAUUGCCGGGUGUUCAAAGGAAAGAACAAGGUUGGUCCAAGUGGGUCUAAUGAUCCUGAAAAGCAACAAGGUCAGAUUGUAGUGAAUAAUUUUAAUUCGAAUACGAAUUCAAAUUAUGUAUCACUAAUAUCUGAUGCAUUCUAUGUGCAGGAUGAUGACGUUGCUUGGUGGUUUGAUUCGGGAGCAACAAGCCAUGUGUGCAAAGAUCGUCGUUGGUUCAAGGAAUUUAGACCAAUCGAUGAUGGCUCUAUUGUGAAGAUGGGCAAUGUUGCAACUGAACCAAUCCUAGGAUUAGGUUGUGUGAAUUUAGUUUUUACUUCCGGAAAAAGUUUGUAUUUGGAUAAUGUCUUAUUUGUACCUGGUAUUCGUAAGAACUUAUUGUCUGGUAUGGUUUUAAAUAAUUGUGGUUUCAAGCAAGUACUUGAAAGUGACAAGUACAUCUUGUCAAGACAUGGUUCGUUUGUUGGAUUUGGUUAUCGUUGUAAUGGAAUGUUUAAAUUAAACAUUGAUGUUCCUUUUGUUCAUGAAUCUGUUUGUAUGGCCUCGUGUAGUUCUAUAACUAAUAUGACAAAAUCAGAAAUUUGGCAUGCUAGAUUAGGACAUGUUCAUUACAAAAGAUUAAAAGAUAUGUCAAAAACAAGUAUGAUUCCUCCUUUUGAUAUGAACAUUGAAAAAUGCAAAACUUGCAUGUUGACCAAGAUCACUAGGAAACCUUUUAAGGAUGUUAAAAGUGAGACUAAAGUCUUAGACCUUAUUCAUAGUGAUUUGUGUGAUUUGCAUGCUACUCCAUCAUUAGGUCAUAAAAAAUAUCUUGUUACUUUUAUUGAUGAUGCAUCAAGGUAUUGUUAUGUAUAUUUAUUAAAUACAAAAGAUGAAGCUCUUGAUAAAUUUAAAAUUUAUAAGAAAGAGGUAGAACUUCAUCAAAAUGGGCUAAUCAAAACUCUUUGUACGGAUAGGGGAGGUGAGUAUUAUGAUCCGGUUUAUUUUCAAUCUACUGGAAUAAUACAUCAAACUACAGCUCCCUAUACACCACAACAGAAUGGUGUAGCCGAAAGGAAGAAUAGAACCUUGAAAGAAAUGGUGAAUUCCAUGUUAUCCUAUUCGGGUUUAAGUGAAGGAUUUUGGGGUGAGGCUAUGUUGACAGCCUGUUACUUGUUGAACCGAAUUCCUAACAAAAGGAAUAAGGUUACCCCAUAUGAACUUUGGCACAAAAAGACACCAAAUUUGAGUUAUCUCAAAAUUUGGGGAUGUAGGGCUGUAGUCAGGCUUACAGAACCUAAAAGGAAAACCAUAGGUGAAAGAGGUAUAGAUUGCAUAUUUAUUGGAUAUGCUGAACAUUCUAAAGCAUAUAGAUUCUAUGUGCUAGAAUCUAAUGAUUCUGUUGCUGUGAACUCGAUUAUAGAGUCACGAGAUGCUAUCUUUGAUGAACAAAGGUUUACAUCUAUACCUAGGCCAAAGGACAUGAAUUCCAUGUCGAAAGUCUCAGUUAAUAUUGAGGAUAUACCUUUAACUAGUACUGAAACUAGAAAGAGUACGAGAGUAAGAAAAGCUAAGUCAUUUGGUGAUGACUUUCAACUCUAUUUGGUUGAAGGGUCAAGGAAUGAUAUUGAAUUUCAAUAUCAAUAUUGCCUUAAUGUUGAGGAAGACCCAAAGACUUUUAGUGAAGCAAUGGCUUCAAGGGAUGCUGUAUUCUGGAAAGAAGCAAUCCAAAGUGAGAUGGAUUCCAUCAUGCAAAAUAAUACCUGGAAAUUGGUUGACUUACCUCCUGGAUGUAAGCCAUUAGGAUGUAAGAUGAUCUUUAGGAGAAAGAUGAAAGUGGAUGGUACUGUUGACAAGUACAAAGCCAGAUUGGUUAUCCAAGGCUUUAGGCAAAAGGAGGGUAUUGAUUUUUUCGAUACAUAUGCUCCUGUUGCUAGGAUAUCCACUAUUAGACUGUUGUUAGCACUUGCUGCUAUCCACAAUCUGAUGAUUCACCAAAUGGAUGUGAAAACUGCAUUCUUAAAUGGUGAAUUGGAUGAAGAGAUAUACAUGAAACAACCUGAAGGGUUUGUUAUGCCAGGAAAUGAAAAUAAGGUGUGUAAACUGAUGAAAUCUCUUUAUGGCUUGAAACAAGCGCCUAAGCAAUGGCAUCAAAAAUUUGAUGAGGUUGUGUUGUCUAGUGGUUUUGUUAUAAACCAAGCAGAUAAAUGUCUAUACAGCAAGUUUGAUACUCAUGGCAAAGGAGUUAUCAUUUGUCUGUAUGUAGACGACAUGUUGAUCUUUGGUACCGACCAAGAUCAAGUUGAUGAAACUAAGGCAUUUUUGUCUUCUAAGUUUGAUAUGAAAGAUAUGGGGGAGGCGGAUGUGAUCUUAGGAAUAAAGAUUAAACGUGGAAACAAUGGUAUUUUCAUCUCUCAAUCACAUUAUAUUGAGAAGAUAUUGGAGAAAUUUAAUUUUAAAGAUUGUUCUCCGGUAAGUACUCUCAUUGAUCCUAACCUGAAGCUAUUACCUAAUAAAGGUGUAGCAUUGUCUCAACUUGAAUACUCAAGGGCGAUAGGAUCACUCAUGUAUGCAAUGAUUAGUACUAGGCCUGAUAUAGCUUAUGUUGUUGCUAAACUCAGUAGGUUUACAAGUAAUCCUAGUUCUCAUCAUUGGCAAGCUAUGAAUAGAGUAUUCAAAUACUUAAAGGGAACCAUUGAUUAUGGUUUGACAUAUACUAGAUUUCCUUCGGUUAUUGAAGGUUACUCUGAUGCAAGUUGGAUAACCAAUAUGGAGGAUUAUUCAUCCACAAGUGGUUGAGUAUUCCUCCUUGGAGGAGGUGCUAUAUCUUGGGCAUCCAAGAAAUAGACCUGCAUUACAAAUUCAACAAUGGAAUCUGAAUUUGUAGCUUUAGCAGCAGCUGGUAAAGAAGCUGAGUGGCUAAGAAAUCUGAUCUAUGAGAUUCCAUUGUGGCCCAAACCUAUACCUCCCAUGUCUAUCAGGUGUGAUAGUCAGGCAACUUUGGCUAAGGCAUAUAGUCAAGUGUAUAAUGGGAAGUCUAGACACUUGGGUGUUAGACACAACAUAGUUCGGGAGUUAAUCAUGCAUGGUGUGAUAUCAGUGGAGUUUGUGAGAACUCAGCAUAAUUUGGCCGAUCAUUUAACCAAAGGGUUAAGUAGAGAUCUCGUGAAAAGGUCGGCUGUGGGAUUAGGAUUAAAGUCCAUCUGAAAUCUCUUAUGUUAAGAUACCCAAUUCCCAUCUAAUAUGACAUUAGGUGCUGAAUUCAAUGUGGAAAGCUUAACAUGUAGAGAUUGGAACACAUCAUCGAAAUUAUCCCAAAAGGAAUGUGUUCGGUUCUGUAAGUUAAGGAGGUUGAAGUAUAACUUCUCAAUGGUUCUUUUGAAAAAUUGCAUUUACAGGUGCAAGAAAGAAAAGGACUACCUAUAUAAGCAUGAAGUUUAGCCGCUUCAAGAAGCUGGGACUUGGCUUUGAUAUGCUUAUGAAGGAUAGGGACACAGGCUAGUAAAACUAGUGUCGAGCAAGAGUAAUGUUAUAAACUAUUGUGCAGAUUAUCUUCAUGUAUUCAUUAUGAAUAGAAAGGGUUCAAUCCUUAGUGACACCCUGAUAUUCGAAUAUUUGAAACGUGUAAUUUGCUAAGAUGAAAUUCAAUCGUCACGAUAUUUCAUCUAUGCAGUAGUUUGUUGUAUGUUAUGACUUUGGUGAUUUGAUCGGUAAUUACACUAAAAUGGGGGAGGUUUGUUGGACAUUUUAGUGUAAUUGAUCUCUUUAUUAUGUUAAAAUAAGAGUGCACGCUUGUUUUAAUGUAAUAACGAGAUGCUCGGUUUAAGCAAAUUUUGGAAGUUACAUGGAAGUCAAAUUUUGGAAGUUACAUGGAAGUUAUUUUUCAAGAAAAGAAAGUUUUUUUAAAAAAGAUAAACUUCCAUCAACCGCCAACCGUUUUAUUUUAAAGGAUAAAACUUCCAUAACUUCCUUCAACCGCCAAAAACCACCUGUUCUUUGAUUAUAAAUAAUCAUCCUGGUUCAGAAAGCAUAACAUGUGAAAAACAUACAAGACCAAAACAAAACUCUUGAAUUAUAAUCUUCUGAUUUUAUCCGAUUGAACAAUUUUGGUUGAACCCCGAAAUUUGAUUCAAUCUGAAAGUGUUUAUACACGACUUCAGAUUUAUCCAGGAUUAUCUCGAUUUUCAAAAUUAACCAACAAGAAGUCCGCUGACUGUGCCCUUGUGAUACUGGAAAAUGGGGGAAAUGGAUCAAUUGCCAUCUUGAAUCCAAAGAAUAUGUCUUAAGUAUAGAUUUCCCAUCAAUUUUCUUCUUAAGCUUAAAAUGUGUUUGCCAAACUUGUCAAUCAGUCUAGGACUCCAGAGGUACAGAAAGAAACGGAUCUUACUCAUCAAUUUUGCAUAUCCAAUGAUCAAUGUGAAACAUGCACUUUAGCUGUCUCAGUCCACUGCAAUGACAGCAUGGCUUUUCUCUAGCAUGGAGCAGCAAACUCAUGUCGAAACAUGCACCUUAGCUGGAUAAAAUUGAUACAAACUACUUCUGUAAUUUCUUAGCUGCUUGUACAAUUGAGUACAAUUUAGGAUAGGAAUUGGAACAGAAUGACAAUAUAUUUCUCUAAAAUCCUUUAAUGUAUAAUGAAUAAUUGCUGCUAAUGCUCAAUAUCUUACAUAAGUGACAUUUAUUCUUAUUAUCUCUUCAUUAUGGUGCGUUCCUUCUGAAUUUUGAUUCCACUGAAAAACUUUCUAAUUUGCUGGUGGACACUAUCUUAUUGAUGCCAAAUUUUGUUUGUGGUCUUCCAUAGUUCUCUCCAAAUUUAGAGGUCAUGGAUCUUACCUUUUCAAUAGAUAGUUCUUUAUUGAUGUAUGUUGUCUGCGGGCUAAACAAACAGGUUGUUGGUUUCCCCCUAGCACUGGCAGACCUCUUUACUGAUUUUUUUUCAUCUUCUGUGCAUUAUCUAGGUUUAAUCAACAGUCCCUUGUCAUUCUGGUUCCUUAUUCUAUUGAGUUUUUAGUGUGAGCUUUUGUCAGCAAAAGGAAAAAAAAAUCAUAUUGUAAUGCUUUAUAUUACAAUAAUUUUAGUAAUCAAGUUUCAGAAUAACCAUAUUUGUAAAUAGAGAUUUUUUAUUUAUUUAUAAAUUACAUAAUAUAUGAAUACUUACAAUAGUAUGAUGAUAUGAUCAUUGUUUUAUUUGACGACCUUUGUAUAGAGAAUAGAUCUACAUGGUUCUUAUUUCUUAUCACUAGUACUAUUUUUACUUUGGAUAGAGUAAUUAUUAAGUUGUUGGUGUUAUAUUCCAUUUGUUUUUGCUCUCAUGCUAGACUAUACUGAUAGAUUAUAGAUAUCAUCAGGAUACUUUGACAAAUGUCUUUGUGAAGCUUGGGUUUUUAUACCUGUAUCCGUUGUUUUGUUUUUCCUCAUGAGUAAGUUGGGUCUGGUCGUAAUAUAUCUAGGGCAAAGGAAUGGUUUCUUAGAUGUAAAAGAUGGUAGUCUAUUCUUUUACUUUGAAUAAACCACAGUAGAAGAUUUCUGCACUGUGAUAUUGCUGAUGGGAAAACUGGAAAGAAAAAAAUCAAUUAUUCCUGUCUGAAUCAACCAUGGCCACCUCUUCUUUGUCCUUAUUUAAGUAGUACAACAACAACAACAACAACAACGCCUUAUCCCACUAGGUGGGGUCGGCUACAUGGAUCAACUUCCGCCAUAAUGUUCUAUCAAGUACCAUACUUCUAUCCAAACCAUUAAUUUCGAGAUCCUUUUUGAUAACCUCUCUUAUAGUCUUUUUGGGUCUUCCUCUGCCUCGAAUUGUUUGUCUUCUCUCCAUCUGGUCUACUCUUCUCACUACAGAGUCUACCGGUCUUCUCUCUACAUGCCCAAACCACCUAAGUCUAUUUUCCACCAUCUUCUCUACAAUAGGCGCUACUCCAACCAUCUCUCUAAUAGCUUCGUUUCUAAUUUUAUCCUGUCGAGUCUUACCACACAUCCACCGCAACAUCCUCAUCUCCGCUACACCUACUUUAUUCUCAUGUUGGCUCUUGACCGCCCAACAUUCUGUUCCGUACAAAAUUGCCGGUCUUACCGCAGUCCGAUAAAACUUUCCCUUUAGCUUGAUCGGUACCUUUGCAUCACAUAACACCCCCGAUGCUUUUCUCCAUUUCAUCCAUCCUGCUUGAAUGCGAUGAUUCACAUCCCCUUCAAUGCUUCUAGGAAACUGAAAGCAUAUGCUGUAGGUCAAUCAUAUAAUAGCAAGUUAAAUACCACUGAAGCUGGUAUUUUAGCUAAUUUUAAAGGAAAUUGCUUCUUUUUAUCAUAAUUCUGGGGGUUAGUUUUUUAGUUCUUGGGUGUUUUAUUUCUUCUCAUAUUUGUUGGAAUUUCUAUAUGGGAUUGCAACAUUUUAAAUGCAUUCUUGUUUCUGUGUGGGUGUUUGAAUAUAGAUAUCAUUUCGCCUCACAUGCAUCUGUGAUCAUCUAGUUUUACACUUUUGAUGUUGCAGACUGCUGCACUUGUGUGUGACAACUUGGAAUGAUAUCUAAAUUCAAACAUGGGAUUGCUGAAGUUGCAACUUCUGAUGAGAUUGCUGAAUCAAUUGACAUGACAUCCCAAGCCCUAUGAGCACUGCUUUGUGGAUGGCUGCUGCCUCCAAGAAAGAUCAUGAAAGUGGUAUGAAUAUCUGGGAUUAUUGGUUGAUACUUGAUAAUGAUUUUAGAAUUCAUAUUGUCUGUUGAUUGGGCUAUUAUAGUUUUUUAUUCAUACCUGUUGUUAUUGCUGUUUUUUUUUAUUCCAAACAAAGUUCAGUGCAUAUUUUCUUCUAGUAGGUAUUCCUAAUUUAUGCUAAUAAUUAAUAAAGCUUCUGUUUUCUAAAAUAGUUAAGUCAUCUGAUUUUGUUUGCUCAUGCAAAAUAUAGAGGAGAGAGAAUAGGUGCAAAUUUUGCUUUCUGCGGAGCAGAUCCAUCUGCUCAACAUUCACAGCAUGGGCGGACAGCUUUGCAUACAGCUGUUAUGAUUGACGAUGUUAAAUUGGUUAAGGUGAGUAAACCAGAUUCUUGAUUAGAAUGAUUAAAUAUCCAUCAAUAUUCAAUAUCAUGUUGGAAUAUGAAGUAUGUGCCUUUUGUAUCUGAUGUUAACUAACUUCUUUUUUUUGGUGUUGAGUAGGUUAUUCUUGCUGCUGGUGUUGAUGUGAACAUUCGUAAUGUGCACAAUGGCAUUCCUCUUCACAUAGCCUUAGCUAGGGGUGCUAAGUCAUGUGUUGAACUACUUCUAUGUAUUGGGGCAGAUUGCAAUUUGCAGGUUUUAAUUCAAGUUCUGAAUUUACUCUGUUUAACUACAGCAUUACACUAAGUGUUAUACUACUGUUGGUUCUUUAUAUAAGAAACAAAUAAUUAAUUCAUCAAGACCAAUCAAAGUAGUUUAGUUAAUUUUAAUUAAUAAUGUCAUAAAUUAAAAUUUGAUUCCAAAAGUAAAUAUAAAGGCAAAGUUUCAUAUCUCUUAUUAUUGUAUUGUUUCAAAACGAAUAUAUGGUGCUUUGAUCUUAUUUCUUUUUUCCUCUUGAUCUCUCUGAUACAUUAUAAAAUGAUUUUUCUAUUUGAUUAUAGUAGAUUUGGAAUUGAACUUCAUCAUAUGACUGAUUGAUUGCUGAGUUCAGUCUCCAGUUCACUGUAGUCAGCCACUUCGUCACAGAGUAAAUUAAGCCUAAUGAUAAUUUAUAUGGUUAUAAAUGGUUGGGGGACUGACUAAUCUAAGGGACAUGAUUCUUAUUAGAACUCAAAAAGUUACAUAUGCUGUUGAAAAUGUAGAAUGGAAUAUUGAAGUCUCUCUAAGUUUAUACAAUUGUCAUCUGUUUGGGAAUAUUUGAGAUCUAAUGAUAUAGUUGAAACUUGAAAGUUUAGUGUUUGCUUCCAUUGCAGGCAUUUAAUCUGUCAGACAAAUUGCAAUUUAACAAUUUGAGGUUUAUCCUCUUCAAAAAGUUAGUACAUAAUAUCUCAAACUAAGAGUUGGUUCAUAACAUUUUAUGGUGCACUCUAAAAUUGACAACUAGGCAGUUACAAGUAGCACCUGACUGGAACUAAAAUCUUCUCAAUGACAGUUUUUAGAUUGCACCGAACUUCUGGAGGAUGAAGUUUUACAAAUGAAACCUCACCAUUCAUUUUAACUCCUCAAUAGUGAGCCAGAGUUCAGGGGUUGUUAAAGUGUUACUAGCGUAACUUCUGUACCAACACUGAAAAGUGCAUAAACUUUAAAUCUACCUUUUAUCCUAAACAGUAAGUAGGCAUUAGUUUUGAUUUACUGUUGUCUUUAUCAUAUCUAUCUUUUACAUUUUAGGCUGGCUUGUGUACAUGCACAAGGAUAAACAGGGUGGAAUAUGUUUUUUUAACAAAAAAUUGUUACAUGCUAUAAAUAUUUGAAAGUUGACAUUCUAGUGUCCGCCUAUUGUCUGAAAUAAGUUUUGCUAUUAUGUUUCUAAUUUAAAGUUCUAAGCUGUUUAUUUUGUCUCAGGAUGAUGAUGGUAACACUGCUCUCCAUAUAGCAGCAUGAACAGCAAAAAUGAUACGUGAAAAUCUUGAUUGGCUCAUUGUAUGCUUGGGAAUCCUAAUGCUGAUAGUCAGAAACUACUGGCAAGUUGCAGCUCUGUGCACUCAUUCUCAUUAGAUUUUGAUUACAUUUUUUUUCAUCUUUUAACCAUCUGAAAAACUUUUGUCCAUCCUUUUAGAAAACUUUGGCAACUUUCAUUUUUCCAUUCCAAAAGAAAGUCCCUCCUAUGACUUAUAGAGUUAUGUUUUAUUACAGUGGCAAGACUCUAGGUGACAUCUUGGAUGUCCUUCCCCGAGAAUGGAUAUCAGAAGAUCUGAUGGAGGCACUCAUGAAGAAAGGAGUUUGUCUCUCUCCUGCAAUGUAAGGCAACGACAUUUUAUUAUUAUUUUUUUUAUUUACUGUUCUUGAAAUAUCUUCAUUGUAUGUCUUAAAAUAUUUUAGAAUAUCGUAGGAAAUCUUUGAAUUUUGUCAUAUCAAUUACCUCUCGAAUAUAGGAAGAAAUUUUAGCUGUUUCCUAACUUCAUUAUGUUUUUAAUUAUUUUCCUUAUUUAAGUAGGGUUAGGAGUUUAUUGUCUUAGUGUGCUUUUUGCACUUGUAGCAUAGAACUACACCUGUAAGUGACCUAAUUCAUAGUAUAAAUAAGUGCCAGUGUCUGUAAUCUAAUGGAAUACUAUCAAGAACCUUCACUGAGAAAACAAUACAAUUUAGCUCCUUCUUUUUCUCUUUCCCUCCUUUCCUACCUUAAGCCCCAUAAAUUCAAUAGAUGUGAUAUCAUAUUUAUUUUCUAACCACAUCCAACUAUUUUUUUAUAAUUUUUGUUUAUUGUUUUAGAUUUGAAUUGGGAGACUGGGUGAAGUUUAGAAAAACUUCCAUAACUCCAACAAAUGGGUGGGAAGGUGAUCGGCAGAAGCAGGUGGGCUUUUUGCAGAGAGUUCCAGACAAAGAUAAUCUCAUUGCUUCAUUUUGUUCUGGAGAGUAUUAUAGUGUUUUGGCCAAUAAAGUUGUAAAAGUCGUUCCAUUAGACAGGGGACAACAUGUGCAGCUUAAAGAGGAUGUAAAAAAGCCAAGGUUUCUUUCUGCAUAAAUCUUAUAUGAAAUAUAAGUGAGGAAAAGUAUGUGUGAAUUUUCAUCAGUACAUGCAUAUGUUUAUAUUAUGUACAGUAUGAAUUACAAGAGGAACCAUCUUCUAAAUCAGAACUAAUUAGCCCUGGCACCACUCAUCCAUGAGUCAGUAACAUCCAACUAAGCAUUAUAUAAUAUAAUGGCUUCUUUGUGUCCAUGCCUCUGUUGGAGGGAUUUCUAUGAUCCUUUAAAAUAUCUAAAUAGAUUGGAGAGGUCAUAUUUGGAUCCAAUUGCAAGGUACGAGACUUGAGUCCCACAGUAGAAGUGUGGGAUUAGAAUUCUGUUUGAGUCCAGCUUCUCUUAUUAAGGAGAAGAGAAACCCAAAAUAAAUUAGGCCAAGCACUUCCUAAAACAUCAUAUGAUGUCUGGAAAUGAUGUAUAUUUGGCCUUUGUUCUUAUUGCAGAUCAUUUGUGUUAGUCCAACAUGUAUUGCAGGCAGUCUUUACUUUCCAGAUAGUGAUCAUGAGUUGUAAACUAACAAGUAUUACAACACAACUUAGUGAUUUCUAUGAUCACUAGACUCAACUUUUUGGUUUUUAGAACGGAUGUGCAUCUCAAAUUCUUUAAAGGAUCUAUGAGUUUAUAUCCAUGCAAUGACAUCUCACUGUCUACCUCAUCAUAGAUGAAGGUGUCAAGAAUCUCUUUCCCAUCCCAUAUGAAGGUAUCUAUAAUCUCAUCCUCAUCUCAGAUGGAGAUAUCUCAUAUCUUUCUCUCAUCCCAAAUGAAAAUAUCUUUUGGAUAUUCAAUUUUCAAUAAAAUAUACAUUGUCACCACUUCCUAAAAGAUGACUAAUAAAUUACAAAGUCAUACCCCAAAUUAUAACAUCAUGAGAGUCAAUUAAUAAUUAACUAUGAAAUAAAACACACACACAAUAUUAAAUAUAUUUUAGUUGAUAUAUAUGAUAGCUAAACACAAAACUCAAGCAAACUUAUUCAUGAAUUUUUAAAUAAAUUCCAAGAUUAAAUAUGUAACCAAUGAAGAUUUGUACAUUAUAAUACCCCUUUUGUAAAAUUAAAUCAAACCCCACGAAUAGUAACAAUUACAUGUGAAUAUGGUUAUAUCAGACCCUUAAAUAAUGUCAUGCAAUGAUACGACGGAACCUAAAUUUUGCAUCAUCAAUGGAUUAAUUGACACAAAUAUCAAUGUAUCAAUUUAUCGAUUUAUCAUUGGUAAACUCAAAAAGAUGUAUUUCUAAAAUCUAUAUCAUGAAAGUUUAGAAAAAGAAGGUCAUUUUACUCACUUCUUGAAACACAUAGUAAUUCACGCGUUUCACUUAUUAUUCUUCUUCUACUGGGACAACAAGAUUCUUUUUGUUUCUUCUUUCUUCUCAAUCCUAUAUAAUUUACUAAUUUUUUAUUUUCUAAGAGACUGUCUAUAAAACUUUAGAAGAAGAGAAUUAUUUAUUCCUAUAUAAUACAAGGAUAUAUAAUUUAAGAUUAGGUCACAUGAGAUAUAUUCUUAGUAGAUUUGGCUAAUCAAAUCUUUCUUUUUUUUCCUACUUAUUAUCUUGAUUUACCUGAUUAUUAAAAUUAUCUAAUAUUUUAUUUUCUUUCAAGAUAUAUUAAGAUAAACCAUGGUAAAAUUUAAAUCAUUGUCAAUUAUCACAAUUUUACAUGUAACAAAUAUCUUAUCCAAACUAGAUAUACAAUGCUAUAUUAUUAAUAGAAUAAUUAUUUUUACAAUAAUAAUAAUCUUUUUAAUCCUCUUAAUUAGGAUAUGAAAGAGUCACGCUUUCUUUUAUAAUUAUAAAAUAAUCUCAACAAUUUUUAUAUUAACUGACUAAUCUUUUUUAUUUAUAAAACUCAAUAAAGUACUUAAAAGAUACAUAAUCUUUUUAUUCAAUAUUUCAAAGAUAUAUAUAUAUAUAUAUAUAUAUAUAUAUAUAUAUAUAUAUAUAUAUAUUAUCAUAAUUAUUUUAAUUAAAAUUAAUAACAAUUAUUAUAUUAAAAUUUUAGGAUGUUACAUGAGAAUGAGAAGAUAUGUAAGUAUGGAGACGACUUCCCCAUUCUGAAUUACACUAGGCCGUCAAUUGCAAAUCAAAAUUUCUACUCAAGAGCACACACCUUGUUCUGGAUUCCCUACUACUCACAUCAGCCUCCUAAUACUCUUGUCUAGGUUGAUGCAUGAACUGAGACAAUAUGUAAACACAAUAAGACAAUUUUGGUAUAGUUAAACAAAGGUAAAUAAGGCGUCCAACUAUCCGCCUAUAUUAAUCAAGAUGAGAAAAUUCUGAUCCUUCAACAAUACCCAAACCAUGAUUCUGCUCCAUGGGACUAUUUGAUGAUUUUGUUUCAAAAAAAUCUUGUUUCUCUUAUGAUACUCAGAACAGUCAAUUGUAUCAAAUAAAAGAAAGAAGAUAACUCUUCAAUUAUAACAAUUUUAUACAAAAAAUUAAAAAUAUAUAAAAUUUACUUUUUAAGUUGCUUCUAUAAAAAACUAUUAUAACACGUAGAUUUUGUUCUUCACAAAAUCAAGGUCAAGAACCAAUAAAUGUUGAACAUUGACAUUUUCUGCUUCUCUUGCUUAAGUUUUUUUUUUUUUUGGUGAAUUUUUCUCUUGCUUAAGUUUUUUUUUUUUUUGGAUGAAUUUUUCUCUUGGUUAAGUAGGAGGCAUCUAAGUGACAAAGACGCGUUUUCUAUUUCAAGAGUCUUGUUUGGUAUACAAAUUAAAGUCUUUUAUUCUGUAAUCAAUUUAUAGUAAAAAUAUCUGAUUAAUUUUUAUGAAGUUUUAUUUAACGUCCCUUUACUUCAAAAUCACAUGUUAAGAGGAUAGUAAAUGAAUGGGUUUUUUUUAAGUGAAUGCAUCUCUCUCUUACUUUUUUUUUCAAUUUAUACUUUGUAAUUUAAUUCCCAAUAUACACAUUCUCUUUUUUUUGUUUUUUUUUUAAUUUAAAAAUUAUAAAAUAUAAAUAUUAUAUUAUAUAAUUUUUUAAUUGGUUUUAAAAUUAAUUAUUUAUUAAAUUAAAUUUUAUAAUUUUGUUUUUUAAUUUUUUAAAAUAAAAUAAUAUUAUUAAAUAUAAUUAUUUUUAUUUUAUUAUUUAAUUAACUUAACAUAUUUUUAGGUGAAUAUUUUUAUUUAAAAUCUGAAUUUUAUAAUAUAAUUAUAUUACUAAAUAUAAUUAGUUUGUUUAUGUCAUUAGAUUUAAUUAAAAAUGAGAAGACUUUUUGUUCAACAAUUUAUUUAUAGAAAAACAUUAUAUUGCAUUAUCAAUAAAAUACUUAAACAAUUACACUUGACUAAGAAAAAACUUAAAUGAAGAUAUAUUAGGACAAUUGUUUCUGUUAUGAGCAUGUUGCCGACAAAUUCCACAUUUUUUACUACUUUCUCAUUCAUUUUUCAUCUCGGUAGGAAUGCGAGUCGAGACGGGACGACCAUUUGCAGUCCUCUUUCUCCCUUGAUCAUAACCCACUGUAUUUUUUUAACGUGUUUCAUUAUUUUUUACUGUGUUUUUUAGUUUGUUUUAAUUCUACUAACUAAUUUUCUUAUUUUUUAAAUUAACGAACAUAACAAACUAAAUAUAAACAGCACAUAAAUUUAACUACAAAAGUACAUACAACUUAACUAAAAAAUUGUGGUUUUUUUUCCGUGAAUACACCCUCUCUAUCCUGCUUUUACUCAAUCUACACUACAUUGUAAUUUAAUUCCCAAUCUACACACUCUCUCCUUUUUGUUUUUUUUUUAAUUUAAAAUAUUAUAAAAUAUAAAUAUUAUAUUAUAUAAUUUUUUAAUUGGUUUUAAAAUUACUAAUUUAUUAAAUUAAAUUUUAUAAUUUUGUUUUUUAUUUUUUUAAAGAAAAAUAUACAGAUAAAGAAAAAUAAAAAAUUUGGGUAAAAUUAGAGUAUAAUUUUUUGGUUUUUUUUUCCGCCAAUACACUCUGUCUCUCUUGCUUUUUCCCAAUCUACACUACCUUACAAUUUAAUUUUCAAUAUAUACUACUUCGAAAUUUGUGCUUUAAAAGUGGUCAAUCUACACUAGUUUGCAAAUCAACGUGGCCAAGGGACUACUCAGAACAAACAAGUUAUAUAGCUAUGCCAUCUAUACCCAACUCUCUGUCCUUUUUUGUUUUUUUUUUUAAAAAAUUUUUAAAUAUUAUAAAAAAUAAAUAUUAUAUUAUAUAAUUUUUUUAAUUAUUUUUAAAAUUACUUAUUUAUUAAAUUAAAUUUUAUAAUUUUGUUUUUUAAUUUUUUUUUAAAGAAAAUGGUAUUAUUAAACUAACAAGUAUUCUUGAAGUUUUUAAACUUUAUACAAGAAUCCUGCUCUGAUACCACUUGUUGGACAUGUGGCCUCAGUUAUCUUAAGAAGAGGUGAAUUAAUUUCCCACUAACAAACUUUUAACUCCCUUCUAAAUGAGAUAGACUCAGAAUGCAGAAGGAGCAACAAUCAAUUUAAUAAUGUUCUUUAAACAUGGAAGACAAAAUUGAUUAUAACAAAAUAAAUGAGAUAAGGGAAGAGAGAAUGCAAACUCAGUUUUAUACUGGUUUGGCAAAGUCCGUUGCCUACGUCCAGUACUCAAGCAACCCAUUUGAGAUUUUCCACUAUCUUUGUAAAAAUCCUUUACAAAGUUUGAACCACACAGGGACAACCAUUCCCUUGUGUUCAGCAUUCCUUACAACUUAAGAGACCCUCGGUCCCUAAAUCAAUUACAUUGAAUAAGAAGAAAGAAGAGGAAUUCUCUCUUUAAAAGAAGGAUAUUACAAUUUAAGAUCAUGUAAGAAUCCUUAUAAAUUUUGCAAGUGUUUGGCCAAGGAUUUCUUUUGAGAGAGCAUUUAGAAAUUAAUUCACCACUUCUUAAGAUAACUAAGGCCACAUGUCCAACAAUAACUUUCACCUACCAUUGACAAAUUUAGAAGUGAAACAAGCUCCCAUGUGUCGUUCUUCUUGAUUGCCUUUAUUUCUUCAUCUAUAGCAAUUUUCCAAUUCUUGUUCUCAAUGGUUUCAUGGAAGCUCAUGGGUUCGCAAUCAACAAAUAGACAAAAAAGAGUAAGAUUAUCUUGAUUUUAGGUUACCUCAUAAAUUUCUUGUAAGCUCUUGAAGCAUGGAACUAUUUAACUAGAUCUUUCAUCUUCUUGAGUAUUUGCAAUUGGUGAAGUUGAUGGGAUACUAGGAUCCUUUAUUACUUCUUUGAAACACAAAAAAAGUUGUAGGUUCCAUCAUGUGGUCCCUAAUCCCAUUCUCCUUCUUCGUUGAAAUUGACAUCUUGAGUGAUGAUUGUAUUCCCCGAAUUAGGAUUGUAGAGCCUGUAGCCUUUGGAAUUUGAGUCAUAACUAAUGAAGAUGUACUUCUUACUUUUGUCAUCCAACUUGCUUAUUUUCUCAUCUAGUACGUGCUCAUGGGAAAUGCUUCCAAAGACUCUUGGAUGUGAAAUGUCGGGGUUCUUUCCACUCCAUGCUUCUUGUGGUGUUUUUUCCCAUAAACUUAUUGUUGGAGACUGGUUGGAAAGAUAAACUAUACAAGUCACUCCUUCUAUCAAAAAUUCCUUUGGAAGUAUUUUACUCUCGAGCAUGCUCCUCGCCAUGUCUAAUAUUAUUCUAUUCUUCCUUUCUACGACUCCAUUUUGCUUGGGAGAUCUCGGUUCUAUUAAGGGUCAUUGAAUUUCAUGAUCUUCAGAAUACUUUUGAAAUUCAUCCAAUGUAAAUUCUCCACCGUGAUCGAAUCUCAUGGCUUUGAUCUCAAGGCCAUUUUCCUUCUCAACAAGGGCUUUGAACUUUUUGAAAUUCUCAAACACCUCUUAUUUAUGCUUCAGAAAAAGUACUAUGAUUUUCUUGAAAAAUCAUCAAUAAAGAAAAGGAAAUAAUUGCUCCUUCCAAGUGAGCUUGUCUUGAUAGGACUACACACAUCUAUAUGCAUAAGUUCCAAUAAUUUUUUAGCUCUUGAGUUAGACUCCUUUGAAAUGUUUUUCUUGAAUUGCUUACCAAGUAGGCAUCCUUCGCACACUUGAUCAGGGUUACUAUUGCAAGACAAUCCUCUCACUAUUUCUUUCUUGGAGAGCAACUCUAAUUAAUCCUUCAAAAUUGAGAUGCCCAAAUUGAAUAUGCCAAAGCCAAGAUGCAUCCUUGUAGCACAUCUCAAGAUAUUUUGCGACAUCAUUUUGAAUGUUGAGCAAAAUCAUUUUAUUUCUUGACAUUGUCACCUUAGCAAUCAAAUUACUUGCAUUGUCUCUUAUAGAAAGGUUAUUGUCUUUUGAGCGAAUAUCAUAACCUUUCUCUAAGAAUUGCCCCAAGCUUUAGAUAUUACUUUUCAUAUUCGGCACAUAAUAAACAUUUGAGAUGAAUUGAUGCUCACCAUUCUUCAAACGGAUAAGAAUAUUACCUUCCUUUCACUUCUAGCUUGAAUUCAUCUCCAAAGGCCACAUUUUCGUUCAUCGAUUCACCAAGCUCCACCAACAUGAUCUUUUUACUACCCAUAUGAUUGCUUGCACCAGUGUCUAGGUACCAUUUAUUGUCUUUUCUUCUUUCAUCAGUCGUGCAAGUCAUCAAUAAAGGAUCACCUUCUUUACUUUGUUCUUCAACGUAGUUUUCCUUUUCUUCAACUCUAUCAUUGCUAGGAGCUCUACAUUUAGAAGCAUAAGGACCAAACUUGCCACAAUUGUAAAAUUUCACAUUUGACUUGUCAUACCUUGAUCUUGAGUUGUCUUGGCCAUGACCUCUUGUUGAGAUUUCUCCUCUUUGAAAUUUAUUGAGCUUUGCCCAUGGCCCUGUCCUUGUCCAUGACCUUGUCCUCUUCCUUGAUCUUCACUACAACCUCAUCCUUGUUGGCUUCUAUUAUUUUGGCUACUUUCUUCGCUGGUUGAAUAAACUUGUGUCUGAAGUAGUUGUUCCAUGAUCCCUUCCUUUAUUUUAUAAGCUUGUAAUGAGCCCAAAAUUUGCUCAAUGGUUAUAGCCUACAAAUCUUUUGUUUCAUCGAUGAUGGUGACAAUAUGUUCGAACUUUGGAUCUAACGGUCUAAGAAUUUUAUCCAUAAUUUUUAGAUAAUAAAUAUUUUCACCAUUUCUCUUAAGUUGAUUGGUGAUUGUUAAAAUUAUAGAGAAAUAGUCAAAGAUGACUUCAUUUUAUUUCAUAUGAAACAUUUCAAACUUGGCUCUCAAUGUUUGAAAACAUACCUUCUUGACUGGAUUCACUUCCUUGUAUAUGGUUUGAAGCGUCUUUUAUGCUUCUUUUGCCAAAUUUCCUUUUGAAACCUUCUCAAAAGCAUUGUCAUCUAAUCCUUGAUAGAUUAGAUAGAAAGCCUUCUUGUCUCUCUUUCUUGAGUCUCUCAAACCAUCCCUUUGAUUUUGAGAGAGACUAUCCUUAUUCCCUGGCUCGGUAUGGCCUUUCUCUAUUAUCUCUCAAACAUCUUGUGUGCCAAGGAUAGCCUUCAUCUUCAUGCUCUUAUUUUCAUAGUUGUUCUUGUUGAGCAUUGGAACUUGGAAUGGAACCAUGCCGCUACUUGCCAUCUCCUUAUAAAGGACCUUUUAGCUUUGAUGCCUAUUUGUUGAAAUGAAAUUUUUAGUAGUGUAAGAAAUAUUUGAGAAUGGGAGAGAUUAGACAUUUUAGAAGAAGAUACUAUUUGUAUAAAUGAUUCUUCAUUUUUGGCUUGAUUUGAUACAAACUCUAAGACAUCACCCCUAUUUAUAUUAGAGGCUCCUCCUAAACCAAUGGUUAGGAUUUUGUUAACACACACUGAAUUUAAUGACUGCAAAUAAUUCUCUAUAACUUUCUUCGUAGAUACAAUCUUACUCACAAAUUAUAGAUCAUUCUAUAUGCUACUUUAGAAUUAUCUUUUAAAAUAGAUUUCUCUAGAACAUUCUUGUAGAAUUUGGCCUAACGAUGUUUCUAGAAAUUGGGCUUUUAGACUAAUAAGGCUCAAAAUCAAGUUUAUAUUUCAACAUCUCAUGGGUGAAUACAUAUACUAAAUAUUCUCCAUCGGGGGUUUGUCUUUGAUGGAAACUUGAGAAGAAGCAUCAAUGAGUUGGUUGGAUAACAAAGGGAUUUGCAUUCCAUUUGAGAUCAUAGAUUGGGUUAUGGAAGAGUGUGUAUAAAUGGCAUCAUAGAAUAUGGUGGGGACGUCAUUUCUCUCGGUGACCUAAAUGAGUUGGAUGUGAGAAGAGUGUUUGGGGAAUUAAAUAGUGGUGGUGUUGGAAAGAAAAAAGAAGUUGUUGAAAUUAACAGAGUGGCCAUCAUUGAGUUGAAGUUCUUGAUUAGGGGUGGGUAGUUGUUGAAUUGGGAAUAGAGGGAAUAAAUGUCAAAGGCAGCUAUGCCAAGUGUGGUGAACAUUCAUACAAAGUUUUAUUCUUCAUUGUUCAAACUUAAGAUCUAAUUUGUCCCAAUUUUUUCUUUUAAAUUUUUCUUUAAUUCUUGUAUUUUUUUUUUUGGAAUUUAUGACAAUUUUUAACUCCCAUAAAUUGCAUUUUAAAAUUUAAAUUAAAAAAUUUCAUGUAGGUUUGGAUUUAUUCAAACUUAAUUCCAAGCCAAAAAGUAGUACAUUAGAUUUUUACAGGGACAAGAAAAAAAUUGCAAGGACUAAAUCUGAACUACGGUAACUUUUCAGGAUGAAAAAUAUAUUUUAACCUUAUAUUUUCCUAUCAAGUAGUGCUGGUGAAGUGUCAUCUUGUUUUACUUUCUUCUUUAUAUAAAAUCACACUUUAUGUGUAACAUGCAGAAAUCAUGAAAUUGUUGUGGGAAGAUAAAAUUUGAGCCAUAAAAGAGUUGAAUGUCGUUAUUUCAUACGCAUACUACAUGAUGAUGGUGUUUGUUGGAUAAAUUAUGGUGAUGAUGAUUGAUUCACUCAUAAUGAUGAUGGUGUUUAAUGAUUGAAUCUUGAUAUGAUAUUGAUGAGGUGGUGAUUGUUAUGAUUUUCUUUGUUAUGUGGAUUAUGAGACUUAUGCUCUAUGUAUGAUUUUAACAUAUUAUGGUAUAUAUGUGACGAUGGUAGAUUAGGCAUGCUUUAAUUGUGAAGUUUUAUCUUAUUUUAAUAUACUCCUUUAGUCUUUAAACACAAGAACUAUGACAUUUAUUUAAAGUUUAACAAUUAAAUUAAACAAAUAAUAUAAAAUAAUCAUAUUAAAUAUUAAUUACAUGAACCAAAUAAAAAUCCUUUAUAUUCAUCCGUUGCAUGAGUAAUCAAAUUAGGACAUAUUUAUUUGAGUGAUGUUUAUAUAAUCAUCAAAAUUUUAAUGUAAAGAGACUCUUAGAUAUUUAUAAUUAAAUUAAUGAAUACAAUUUUAUUAGAAUGAUGUUUUUAUUUCUUUUUAUAUCAAAACAUCCUCAUAUUUUUAAUGAGUCUAUAAAAAAUUAUACCUUUUAAUCAAUAAUAUAUUCUUUUAAUGUUGCAUUAAUUCAUCUUUAUAUUCAUUUAUGUCACUCGGGUAAUUAUAUUAGGACAAAUUCAUUUGGAUGAUUAAUUUUUUUAAUAAUCAUUGGGUUUUAUUUAUGUUUAAAGAAUCUUAAAUAUUUAUAUUUAAAUUUAAUUCAUACAACUCUUAUAUGAAUGAUAUCUAAAUUUCUUUUUAUAUCAAAACAUCAUUCUUUUUUUAAUUUGAAAUUGUAAAAAUUAUAUUUUAUAAAUUAUUAUAUAUUAUAUUUAUAUUACCCUAAUUUAUAUCUUUAUUUAUCAUGCGUAUCCAUUCAAAAUCAAAUUUAUUUGGAUGAUUAUAUAUAUAUAUAUAUAUAUAUAUAUAUAUAUAUAUAUAAAUAAUCAUUUGGGUUUUUUUAUUGCAAGAGUCUUACAUAUUUCAUAUUUUAAUUUAUGUUUCUUUUUAUAUUAAAACACCUUUCAUUUUUUCAAUUUAAUGUAUAAAAAAUUAUAUUUUUAAACUAUUAUAUAUUUUAUUUAUGACAUGUUAAUCCAUGUUUAUAUUCGUGUAUUAUAUCGGUGACCAUAUUAUAAUCAAAGAUCCCUUGAAGUUGAUACAAUAUUCCAUUAUUCCAUUAUAUUCAUGGAUGAAAAAAAAAAUAUCUUAAAGAUGUUAUUAGUUCAAAUUCACAAGCUUAAGAAGUAAUAUUUUUAACUAUAAAAGUAGUAGUUGUAAUAGUAAUUAUAAGAUAAGUAUAUUUAAAUAUACUUAUUUAGUGACCCAAAAUUUUAGAUGACUCAUUGGUGAAUAUUUCAAAACUAAUAAAGAUUGAAACUAUUUACAACCAAACACAUGUAUAAAUGCUUUUUUGAUUUCAAUAUUAAGCUAAAUGGCAUCAUUGGUGAAAAACAAUAUUUCGCGAGUAUAGAAUUUCAUGUUGUAACAAAUAAAUUCCACAAUUACACAAGGAAAACUUAAGAGAUAACAUCACUUUUAACUAUAGCAAACUUUUAUGAUAUAAGAAAAACAAUUAUCUCAUUAGAAGUAAACUCUUCAUAUGGUUAAGCAAUAUAUUUUUUUGGGGUGGUUGGGAAGCUUAUCUUUUCUUUAAAGAAAACUUUAAUUACACGUCAAUUGUUAAAACAUGAUUCAAAAGAUUGAUAUACCAUUGGUUUUUAUUAAAAAGGAAUUAAAUUUCAUUUGUCUAUAAAUUUAAAGUUUUUUUUAUUUCUAUUGUUAAAUAUGAAAAUUUUAUAACAAGAUAUUGAUCUCGAUAAUUCAUAUUUUUAUCCAUCCGUUGCAUAGGUAAUCAUAUUAGGACAAAUUCAUUUGAGUGAUUUUCUUAUAAUCAUUGAUUUUUUUAAUAUCAAGAUACUCUUAGAUAUUUAUAUUUAAAUUAAUGUAUAAAUUGUUUAUAAGAAUGAUGCUUAUAUUUCUUUUUAUAUUAAAACAUCCUUCAUAUUUUUAAUAUGAAUCUAUAAAAAGUUAUACUUUUUAAACAAUUAUAUAUUCUUCUUUUGUUGCAUCAAUUCAUCUUUAUAUUUUUUAUGCACCCGGGUAAUCAUACUAGAACAAACUCAUUUUGAUGAUUAUUUUUUUUAAUAAUCAUUGUGUUUUUUUAUAUUAAGAAACUAUAAAAUAUUUAUAUUUAAAUUAAUUCAUACAAGUUUUAUAUGAAUGAUGUCUAAUUUUUUUUUAUAUCAAAGCAUCAUUUUUUUUAAUUUGAAAUUAUAAAAAUUAUAUUUUAUAAACUAUUAUAUAUUAUAUUUAUGUUAGCCUAAUUCAUAUUUAUAUUUAUCUAUCAACACAAGUAUCAUAUAAAAUCAUUUGGACUUUUUAUUACAAGAGUCUUAGAUAUUUAACAUAUUUUAAUUUAUAUUUAUUUUUAUAUUAAAACACCUUUCAUUUUCUUUUCAAAUUGAAAGUAUAAAAAAUUGUAUUUUUAAAAUUAUUAUAUAAUCUAUUUAUGUUACGUUGAUUCAUAUUUGUAUCCAUCUAUCACUGGGUAAUCAUAUACUAAGAAAAAUUCGUUGGGAUGUUUAAAUUUUUUUGUAUCAAAACAUUUUCUUAAUUUGGUUAUAUAAAAAAUUAUAUUUUAAAACUAUUAUUUAUUUUAUUUUUAUCAUGUUAAUCCAUAUUUGUAUUCGUGUAUUACAUAAGUAAUCAUAUUAGAGUUUAUCGAUUUGAAUAAAAAAUUUAUAAUCAAAGAUCUAUAGAAGUCAAUACAAUAUUUCAUUAUAUCCAUGAAUGAAAAAAAAAUAUAUCUUAAAAAAGUUAUUAGUUAAAAUUCACAAGCCUAAAAAAUAAUAUUUUUAAUUAUAAAAGUAGUAGUUAUAAAAGUAAUUAUAAGAUAAGUAUAUUUAAAUAUACUCAUUUUAUUGACCCACAAUUUUAGAUGAGUUCAUUGAUGAAUAUUUUAAAAUUAACAAAGAAUGAAACUAUUUACAAAUAAAUACUUAUAUAUAAUUUUUUUGGAUUUAAUUAUUAAGAUAAAUAAUGUCAUUUAAGAGAUAACAUCACUUUUAACUAUUGAGUAUAGACUUUCAUGUUAUAACAAAUAAAUUUCAUAUUACACAAAUAAAAUUUAAGAGAUAAUAUCACUUUUUAUUAUAAUAUACUUUUAUUAUAUAAGAAAUACAAUUAUCUCUUUAAAAGUAAACUCUUCACAUUAUUACACAAGCAUCUCUUCUAUCCCUAAAAUAAGAUGUACAUCGUACAGUUGGAAUGUGGGCAAUCUUUGGCCAGUCUUGGCCUCCUGGGUUCUGGCAACGCUGCUCGAGGUUGGGGCAGGCUAUGAUAAAAAGAUUUGAAAUGGAAUUGGAAAGACCCUCCUCUGGUAGCUGUUGGAGGUUGGGGCAGUUAAUAAUCCAAAGAUUUGAAAUGGAAUUGGGAAGACCCUCCUCUGGUAGCUGUUGGAGGUUGGGGCAGCCAUCAAGAAUCAAUUUCUUGAGAGAGGAGAGCUGACAGAGCCCCUUGUAGUCCAGUUUUUUUAGAUUUGGAAAACCAUAUAUGCUUAGAUUAAUAAGAGAGAGUGGCAGUAAACCUUCAUCAGGAAAAGAUUCCGCAUCCAGCUUUCCUAUCCCCAAGCUUUCCAGAGAGGGAUUGUCUCCCAAAGCCCCUUUCAGUGAGGCCAUGAGUCCGGAGGAGCAUCUUAUGAGUCCGGAUGAGCAUUUAUAGAGUUCAAUCUUUUUUAGAUUUGAUGGCAAACCUCCUUCAGGGAACGACUCAACUCUUGGACAAUCUUUUAUUACUAGCUCCUUCAGAGAUGGAAGCAGCAUAUGCAUGCUUCCAGGCAAUGAUUCUAACUGAGGGCACUUACCGAAUGCCAGAACUUCAAGAUGAUUAUGGGUCUGAUCCUGUGUAAUCAUCAGUAGAUUACGAAAGCCACUGAGACGAAGGGUCCUGAGUGCUGGGAAGAAAUCUAGCGGAAAAGUCUUUUGAGAGUCAAAUCCAUUAUCACUCAUUUCACAAUCGCAAAACAUUUCAUAUUUCGGGCAACAAUAAAUAUUCAGUUCUUUCAAAGUAUCAGACUUUUCCAGCAACGAUGCUUUCAUGCUGUGUCCGCCCAUUCUGAGCUUUUCCAAAGAAGCCCAGUCAAGUUGCAGUUGCAGCUUUCCAGUGUCUUUCAGGUCUAGUACUAGAGCCCUGGGAGCUGAAGCCUCAAGUUGUUUGCACUCACUAAUUUCUAGCUCCUUUAAAGGAAGAAGUUGCUCUGGGAGGUCACCUUUCAGCUUUGGACAUUUGCUUAUAUCAAGAUAUUGAAGACAUGGAAAAGCACCUCUCACAGCUUCACAUUCCCAUUUUUCCCAUGCUUUCAUAGAGGAGAACUUCAAUGUUUCCAACGAUGGAAAUGAAGAGGAGCUAUUCCCAUGAAAAUCAGCACCAAUGCUCACUAUCCCAUCAAGACUUGAAAUCUCAAGUUUCUUGAGAAAUGGCAAAAGUCCAAGGGAAGGCAAAUGUUGGCAAGAUUGACAGUUUCUCAACUCUAAGGACACCACAUUUGAUAAAGAAUUAUUGGAUAACCAAUUAGGGAAUUGUUUACCACCAUAGUUCCUGAUUGACAACUUCUCCAGGUGUUUGGAAGGUUGUAGAUUCUCAAUUACAAUUACAUCCCUUUCUUUGGCAGAAUCAUCAGGGUUCCGGUGCGAAUUCCAUUCAAACUCUAGUUCCACAAGGCGUGUUUUAUUUUUCAAAUCUGCAGCUAAUGCAUCUGAGGGAUUCUCAAUAUUCUGCAGCUCCCUAAAUGAUAAUCCUUUAUGAACAAGAUUGAGCUCUCCUAAUUGCUGAAUAGUGAACUUGCUACUUUUACCAACAUGAAACGAACUCAUGGAUACUUGAAGAUUCUUCAACUUUCCCAGAUGUGGUGGCACCUUUAUAAUUUCAGUAUUUACAAAUUCAAGGCGAUGCAAAUUGGUGAGUUCAUGCAAAUUCGAGGGCAGCUCCUUCAAAUAUUCACAACUAUUCAGCUUCAGUAUUUGCAAGUUGGAGAGUGAACAUGUUGAGUCAGGUAGUUUUGUUAUGUGAGUACUGGAAAGGUCUAAAGAACGAAGAUGUUUAAGAUUGCCUACAGAGUUGGGCACUUCUGUAAGGUAAUGACAUGAAGACAAAGACAAAACACCCAAAUUGGCGAGUUUAUGCAAAUUCGAGGGCAGCUCCUUCAAAGAUCUACAAUCAUCCAGCUUCAGUAUUUGCAAGUUGUAGAGUGAACAUGUGGAUUCAGGUAGUUUUUUAAUGCCAGUAUGGGAAAGGUCUAAAGAACGAAGAUGUUUAAGAUCGCCUAUAGAGUUGGGCACUUCUGUAAGGUAAUGACAUGAAGACAAAGAUAAAACACCCAAAUUGGUGAGUUCAUGCAAAUUCGAGGGCAGCUCCUUCAAAGAUUCACAACUAUUCAGCUUCAGUAUUUGUAAGUUGUAGAGUGAACAUGUGGAUUCAGGUAGUUUUUUAAUGCCAGUAUGGGAAAGGUCUAACGAACGAAGAUGUUUAAAAUUGCAAACAGAGUCAGGCAGCUCUUCAAUGUCUAAACAGUGAGACAGAGAUAAGACGCGUAAGAACUUUAACUUGGAGAACAAUUCAUGUAUCGACAUCUUGCAAUUCCAAGGCCA